rnacentral:lncRNA from 1 species
GAUGCCAAAUUGGAUGAGCUACAGGGGAGAAGGAUGCUCAUUGUCAUUCCAUAUACCUCCAGUCUUCCAAGGCUUAGUUCUUUGGUUUCAUAAGGAUUCUCAUUGUCACUUCCACAUUGACAUUAUUAUUAUUAUAAGAAAUAAAAGCAACGGUAUUCAAUUGUUUGAAGAAAAACAAUUACCAAUAGACACGGUACGUGGAAGGGUGGGAUGGACAAGAUACAUAAGUAGAAGUGAAAUGGCAAUGGAAGAUUACUGUGGAGAUGACGAAUUGGAACUAUACGUAUAUUCAAAGCCAUCAAUACUUGCGGUGUACAGAGGUUGGCAAUUAAAACCCGGACACAUUAAAGAAUAUGGGGUCCAUGUGAUCGCAGGGAAGUCAGAUUCAUUUGAAGAGUCGGCAGUGGGAAGAGAUGCAGUGAUGCCUUCACCACCGCUGUAUCAUCUGCUUCCUCAUCCCCAUUGUGGUUCGAUUACAGCGUCUACACCUAAGCAAUGGAGUGACUAUUUAUCUGCGAAGCUAGAAGGACAUAGCCUCGAUUUAAGACUUGAUGGUGAGAACAAAUAUUUCAUUUAGUUAUUUUUAUUCUAUUAUAUUUAAUUUAUGAGAUUAAAUAUUAUCUUUAAUGAUUUUAUUAUUAUUAUUUAAUCUAAAAAAUUAAAUAUCAUCUUUAAUAAAAAAAUAUUAAAUAUUUAAGGCUUUUUGGUAAGAAUACAUAUUUCCUUUAGUUAUUUCUAUUUUAUUCUAUUUAAUUUAAGAGAUUAAAUAUCAUCUUUAAUUCUUACAUUUUUCUUAUUUAAUCUAAAAAAUUAAAUAUUAUCUUUAACAAUAUUUUUUAUUAAAUAUUUAGAGUUUGCUUGGUUUUAUUUCUUUUCUUGAUUUUAUAAUAAUAUUUUUCUUAUUUAAUAUAAAAAAUAAAUAUUAUCUUUAACAAUUAGAUCUAUCGAAUAUCACUUAAAAAUAAAUUAUAACUUUAAUAAUUAUUUUUUGAAAAACAAAAGGCCAACAAUCACUAACAUAUUUUAUUAAAAUCACUUUAGUUUAUAUAGAAAAUAUUGAAAACUGAUUUUUGUUUUUUUACAUUAAAAUAAAAAAUUGAAUAAUGUUUUUAUAUUUUAUUUCAAACUCGAUAUUUUAAAACAAAAAUGAAAAAGAUGUGAUAUUAACAUUUUUUAUUAUAAAGUAAGUUUUUUAAUUAAAAGUGAUGGGAAUUUGUUUUUAUUGCAUGUACAAUCAUGCACAUUUAACUUUCUUUUUAAAUUUGAUGGUUUUUUAGGACGGAAAUGGCUUGAAGGUGGUGAAGGCUUUGAUUGACAUGAGAGUACAAGAUUAGUUUACAUAGAGAUGCUUGAAGUUGCUCCAAAUCAGUACGAUACUUUCAUCUGACAUGUUGAUAUGUAUUUGUUGGCUUGAAGAUUAUUUUCCAAGCUUGGAAGUUUUAUUGAAUUCUCUUUGAAAUCUUUUCCAUCCGCUGGACAACUUAUAUUAUUAUGCAUGAUGUAAUUUAUAUUUUCAAGUUACAAAUUUUGAUGAAUAUUGUUUCAUUUUUUUCCUCAUUUCAAAAGAUGAAAAUCCUUGAUCUUAGUUAGAAAUAAAUUGGUUUUCUAGGAAGAGAUUAUUGAUUGGAAUAUAGUAUUUGAAUUGGUUCUUCAUCAUUUACUGUUAUAUAUAAUUUAAAAUAAUUGAUGAAAAUACAUAGAAAAGUUUUGAGAGCAUCCUUAAUUAGUCUAGUAAGUAAAGUGUUGUUAGUUUUGACUAUAAGAUCUUGCUAUGUAUUAUUGCAUGGUUUUUACUAUUUUUUUGCAUUUCUUCUUUUUGUAUAUACAACUUUUGUUUUUCUUGCCGCUUGUCAUUAGCUUUAUGGCACCAACACCAAUUAAUAAUAAAUCUUGAACUAUUAUUAAAUAAAGAAAAAAUAUAAAUAUCGUUAAAAUACCAAACUUGAAUUGCUCAAUCCUAAAGAAACCCUAUGACAAUAAUCUAAUUUAGAAAAUAAUUAAUUUAUCCUUGUAGUCUAAGAAAAUAGUAUUUAAUUCUUAUGUUUUCAUAUACAUCUAUGAUUUAAUAUGUUGAUUGAAAUUGGCAAGUGAGUUUACUCACGUAUUGUUAUAUUGGUUUUGAGUUCAAAUAAAUGUUUAAAAAGGGAGUUUUUUCAUGAAUGUAACCCUUCAAUAUAUGAAUGUUUAAAAUUGUAUUCAAUAUGAAUGAUGGAUGAUUUUGCUAAGAAUUGGUUGGUAAAAAACUUAAUUUCGAUAUAUAAAAACUUAAGAGACAACAAUAAAUAGAGAGACUAGUAAAGAUUUUAUGUGCUUUCUUGUUUUUUUUUUUUAAUUGGAUUACCUUUGUCUUUUGUUUCAAGUAAAAUUCUAGUAUAUAUCACUAAAUUAAGAAUUAAAGGUCUAAUUAUAUGAAACACAAUUUUAAAGACUACAUCAACUACAUUUCAUAUGCUCAACUCUAAGCAAAUUGAAAUUUCAAGGCCAUUUGUAUCUUGAAAACACAAUCUCAAUAAUCUUAAUAUUGAAUUAUUAUUUGUUGAGUUGGAAAAUAGCACUAAGGAACACAAAAGCCGUACUGUUUAUCUUCUUGGCAUUGUUCAAAGGAACGCAAAAAGAUACUCCAAUUGUGAAAGAUUAUUAUUGUCAUAAAGUAAAACUUUCAAUAUAGAGAGUGAAAUAAAGAGCAAGAGCAAAAAAAUAAUUCGUGUGUGUAUUAGCUAAAUGAAAUGAAGAUUAGAGUAAAAAGGAUAAAAAAAAAAAAAAAAAAUAGAGAGAGAGACUCGUUAAGAUUUUAUGUUGGUGCUCAACAUGUUCUUUCUUAUUUUUUUUUUUUUUUUAAUUUUAUCUUAACGAGUGAAAUAAAGAAACACUCCCCCCAUCUUUCUUGUUCCCUUUCCCUUCUUUACAUGGCUUACUCAGUGAAAAAGCAAUUAAACACCCCAUUUGAUUUUCAAUCAGUAUGAGAGUGAGAGAGAGAGAGGCCAAGGUGGUCCUUGAAUAUUUUCUUCUUUUUUGUCUCGCUCACUGGGGCAAACCAUUUUUUCCAAAAUUUUGAAUAGCAUGCGAUCAAAAAGAAUUUUGAAUAGCAUGCCAUCAAAAGGAAUUUUGUUCAAUCCCAAUCCCACAUUGUCUGUAGAAGUAUUUACUUUUGACUGUACACUUUGUUAUUUUCCAAUCCCUCCCCAGUUCUGCAACCAUUUCUCUACUUUCUAUGCUCUUGGCUUGCUAAAAACUAAAGAAAACACAUUGCUCUACUUGCCUGCCUUCACUCUUCAGAUUGCUCAACAAAUCCCUUGAGACCUUCUCCAUAGUUAACACAUCACAUAAUGGCUACUCUAAAAAAUUUAGCCAUAAACAUUGAACACCUUGAGCAAUCAACGUGCCUUCCUUCACAAUAUCCAUCACCCAUAAAUCUUUCUUUUGGGAUGUCGCCGGGAGUUUAAUUUCCGUGUAAAAAUUAUGUAUAAAUUUCCAUUCUUUCCUUCCAUCCAUUACUUGUCCUCUAUGAAGAUUCUAUGUAUGAAAUCUCGGAAUCUUUUCGAGUAUAACUUGGGAUCAACAGCUGAGAUAGACGUGGGAUCCACUUCUAAGGACUUGUAUGCAUGCUCUAGCUUUUUGCUGAUAUCAUAAUCCUAGAGAUACCAAAGUGAAGAACUACAUCUCACAAUCACCAAAAUUCAAAGUAAAGUAACGGAGAAGAAAAUCUGAUAACAAUGAAUGAUCACUCAUUAACCACAGCGAAUCUUACGCUUUGAAAACACUUUUCACCAUCAAUUUUCCUUUUCUCAUUGAUUUUAAAUCUUCCAGGCAGAUAAAAUAGCAUUGGUUUUAUUCAUCAGCUUAGGCAUCAACAACAUGUUGCAUCCACAAUCUUACUACUACAUUAUAAUUAUAAACAAAGCUAAAAAAAUAUAUAUAUGAGGACAGAGUUAACAGACAUGCACUAAGAGUUAACAGACAUGCACUAACACACACUGUGCAAAUCAGUGUACAGCUGUUAUAACAAACAAGUGUACAAUCUGUUUUCUCCAACCUUCCAGCAUUAUUCUCCCGAGCAUAUUCUGUCAGCUCAAGAUUAGGCAAUUCUGUUAACCAUUCUGUUAGCUCUGUUCUCUUUUGUUGUAUAUAUACUUGAUUGAUUGAUUGAUUCAAUAACAUUAUCUUUCUCUCUUCUCACCUGCCCCCUUUUUCUUCUCCUUUUACCUCUAGCUUCCAAUGCCUAUCAACACCACCAUCCUUAACACAAAUGAAUCUCACAGCAUGUUGAUUACCAUCAAUGUAGCAGCCCAAACUCCAUUAAAACUUAUCUCCACCAGGCACCAACUAUCUAGCCUGGAAACUUUGUUGGGGAUUCCGGCUCCCCCAUGCGCGGACCGGGGGUGUACUGAUAGUUGCUCAACGGAGGGUAAAGCACACUGAUACAAUAUUUUACGUGGUUCGGCAAAACCGCCUACAUCCACGGGAGAGUCCAUAUUAUUAGAGAUAUAUAGAGAAAGGAUUACAACAUACAUGGAGGAGGAGGAUCACUUCACUCAAACUCAAUUCCCAGCUCUUUUGCUACACUUACAGCUGCUGCAAUGGCAGCAGCCAUUGCAGCUCUCUCUUUCUCUCCACUCUCUUGCACACACUCACGUUCUCUCUCUCUCAUUUUUCUCUCAAAUAUAAGCCUCCUUUAUAGGCAUUUCAUGGUCAACAUGGAGGGGCCAAUAGCCUUAAAGCAUGGCAUGAAUUGUGGCACAAUUCAUGCUUCCACUUGCUUAGUGGUGGGGUAUUGCCACAAAUGGCAAUAUCCUAACAAUCACCCCCUUUGCCAUUUGUGUGGGCAAUUGUCCUCUUGCUUCUUCAGCACAGGCUUGCAUCUUGCAGCUCUUCCAAGCUUACCAUUCUGAGAGCGUCUUCAACACAACAUUCCCUUUCGAGUGUAUCAAUCAUGCUCGGUCCGGAAUGAUUUUUCAAGCCUUACACCAAGGCUUACAACACCCCCUCAAAUAGAUAUUUCUAAGUGCGACAGUCAUUUAGUAUUUCAAUGUGAUCACAAGCUCACCACUCUUCCAAGAGUCUACUCAUCCAAGAGUUGUGCCUGCCCUCUGUUCCACCCUAGGAACCACGUCUUACUUCUCCGUGAGUCUCUCGCUCUUAGUCGUAAGAGUCCAGGUAGCUCUCCACCUUUAACCAUAGGGGCAGCCCAUUAAAGGUUGAUUCAUAUCUGUCUUCAUACUCUGAGUAUUACAAUGCCAUUACCGAGCUCACCACCUUAACAAGAGUCAACUCGUUCUCGGAACCUGCGCAUGCCCUUCUGCUUCUUCAUAGCAGCCGCGUCUUAAUGCUCCACAAGUCACACACUUAUUGUCCAAGGCAAAUGUCUUCUAGCUCAUUGAUCUUUAGCAUGGGGGCAAUAUCCAUGAAAGUCAAUCCUGCAUUUGUCUCCAUACUCAUCAUAGCCACUUCAUUGGCUAUCUAUACACUUGUCCACUUGUAUCUAGCCAUCACAUCGGCUUUGGAGCGUUCUGAACUGGGCUCAUAUCAUGGCCCUCACACCUUCUCCUCAGGUGUCUCCGCUCGUCAUCAUGCGACGGUCUGAACUGGGGCUCCUCUCAUAGCCCUCACACCUUCUCUACGGUGUCUUCGCCCGUUGUCAUGGGGCGGUCGCAUCCUUCUUCAGCUGGGAUGCUUCAAAGUGGCUCCAAAAUUCUCUACCACCAUGUGCACUAUGGGAGAGAUUAUAACCACUGAUUACAUAGAAAGAGAAACUUGCGGUAUACUCCUCGCAAUCCUCCACCUCGAUUUCUAUGUUUGGAGCUUUUGUGUCUUUCUACUUGAUAGCUCCACCUACACCAACUCUCUUUGGUGUCUUCGCCUUUCAUCAUAGGCGGUCGCCUUUUAUCACAGGCGUUUGCACCCCCUCAAUUAGGUGCUUCUACAACAGCUCUCUUUCCAUCCUUGCAUGCAUUGGAAAGGUCUUCGCCUGUUGUCUUCAUCAAGAGCAUAAGAGACUUCCUGUUGUACAAACUUUAACAGUCUCUGCUCUGAGCUUCAUCUGGGAACACUUCUUCUCCUUGCACCUAUUGUCUCAUUACAGUACCUCGUUGGAUCCUACGGGUACUCCUGCACAAUCUCCGUGUGCCCUCGUGCAAUUUCUGUUCUCCAGAUUUCUCCCUAUUUCUUGCUUAUGUUUGACAGCAGCUCAUCCUGUCACAACACCUGUCCAAGUCAAAAAUAUGGUGCCAAUCUUUAUCCCCUUGCUGUAUUCCUCUUCCAUUAUCAGGGUCUUCAUCAGUUCUCCCCUCGAGAAAUCACAGUCACCGAAUCUAACUUCUUUGGAGAAAUCACCACUCCAUCAGAUCCUUGAACCUUUGGAACCCAACUAUUCCCUUGUGCCGUCAUCCUGCUAGCCUUCAACUGUUUCAUUACAAACUGCUAUAUAUACAAAAAUAGUACCGUAUGGAUAAUCCUUCCACUAAGCAAGUUCCCAGGAAAGAUUGGAGGGGUCACACUGGUCCCGCUUAAAACCCAAUCUCCUAGACAGAACUUCUUAGGACAUAUCUAUCCAUCGUACUGUCUUUUUGUAUAUACAACCAUUUGCUAGCUUUGUUGCGGCUUUCCUUUACAAGUGAUCUGGGGUAUCCCGAUUUUAUACCUGAUUUCUCAACAUCUGGCGAGACUACCAGUUCUUAGAUUCGUCAAGAUUGGUCUUUAUCAAUUUUCACUCUACACCUCUAAUUGUCCACUUGAUCGGGUGUCUAGAGUGUCCCAAUUUUGCCUUCCCUCAAGGCAGUUAAAUUUCUCCCAACUUAGCAGCUCAGCACAUGUAAUUGGGUAAACAUGUGCACCUUCUUCUUCUUCUCUUCAACGACCACCAUGAUAACCUUCAGAUGCCUCCUGAUCGGGCAAUCUCUUUUGUUAAUUCAUCACUACCACUUUCGGUCUCAAAUCUCAACGAUCGGACCAUACCAUUGCAUCCGAAACGAUCAAAUUAGCUGGAAACAAGUCUGAAAUCGUCCAAAUCGCACUUCAGACGGCUAAGAUUUGAUCAAAACAAUUCUGGCCUGAUCAAUGGCUCAGAUUCAAUCUCAGAUCCGGUUGCACGUAGGAUCAGCUACACUGGAUCCUGUCCCUCGGCUCGCGGCUCGGCUCCAAUUAGGCUCGGCUCGGCUUGGCUCGGCUCGUGGCUAAUGACGUGGUUGGUGGGUCCCACUUUGCUGACGUGUCAGUGACUGUACGCUGACAUGGCAUGCCAACUGUGCAUGCUGACAUCACACUUACAUCAGGCUGAUGUCAUCCCUGGCAUGCCUACUAUGCAUGUUGACAUCACAAUUAUGUCAUACUGACGUCAUUCAUAUCCGGGUCAGCCAUGUGGGUCGGGUCAACUGGUAUUUGGGUCGGGUCAGCCCAUCCGGGCGAAGAAGACGCGUGGGGUGCGUCUGCGCGCGUGGGCAGACGCCUUGCCGGAGAGUGAUGGAGAGUACGGCCAUGUCCGACGUCCGAUUUUGACGCCGUUUUCACCAGUGGCUUCGUCUCGGCCUCCUCUACACGGUGGUAUAGUCAAAACACCAUUUUGAGAACUUUCAUUUUUGAGCAAAAAUCAAACACCCCUUUAAACCAUGUGCUCUGAUACCAGUUGUUGGGGAUUCCGGCUCCCCCAUGCGCGGACCGGGGGUGUACUGAUAGUUGCUCAACGGAGGGUAAAGCACACUGAUACAAUAUUUUACGUGGUUCGGCAAAACCGCCUACAUCCACGGGAGAGUCCAUAUUAUUAGAGAUAUAUAGAGAAAGGAUUACAACAUACAUGGAGGAGGAGGAUCACUUCACUCAAACUCAAUUCCCAGCUCUUUUGCUACACUUACAGCUGCUGCAAUGGCAGCAGCCAUUGCAGCUCUCUCUUUCUCUCCACUCUCUUGCACACACUCACGUUCUCUCUCUCUCAUUUUUCUCUCAAAUAUAAGCCUCCUUUAUAGGCAUUUCAUGGUCAACAUGGAGGGGCCAAUAGCCUUAAAGCAUGGCAUGAAUUGUGGCACAAUUCAUGCUUCCACUUGCUUAGUGGUGGGGUAUUGCCACAAAUGACAAUAUCCUAACAAACUUCAAUUCCAGACUCUAUUCAUAGGACAUUUGAUUGAGGUCUCCACAAACAUUGAAACACCGCAAUUUUUCAUGAUAAAAUCCAAAGGAUUGGUACUUUGGUGUUUGAGGGGCUGGUAAAUGAAAGAACAGAUCAAGAGAUGACAUCCCUCUAUACCGCUGUUAUUCCUUUCAAGGUGCGUAUCAGGUGUUUGAAAAACUUCCUCAACUUAAAAAUAAAAAGGUCCUGUUUACAAUGUUUUUUAGUCCUUUACAAAUCUUCCAAUGUGUUGCGUUUACUGAAUAUGAUAGUGGGAACUUAUUUAUCAAGAAUUAACUACUCAGAAGAAAAUGUAAAGACGCAAUAAUGAUUUUUUUAUUUUAGAUUCCAUAGUCUACAAACUUGGAAGCAUACGGACCAGUCAGAAGACAACAUGUUUAUUGUAUAUGAUAAACAAUAAUAAACAUCUCAUUCUUAAAAUGAUGGUAAAUCAGAAACAACCAUCCAAUACUUGAAGAUCUGUUGAAGAUAUUUGGCCUUUGGAAAUUUUGAAGAGAACUGGAGCAGUUGCAUAUGGAUUAGCUCUUCCAUCCAAUCUUUUCAUCUAACCAUCCAGUUUUCUAUGUAUCCAUGCUUUAAAAGUAUCUUCGUGCUCCAUCACAUGUAUUGGAGCCAUAAACAGUAGCAUUUCAAGGAGAUAUGUCAUGUGAAAUCCGUUCUAAUGAGAUUGCUUCAGUGAAAGUAAUGUGAGAAGGUCAUCCAAGUGAUGAAGCAACACGAGAACCUGAGAAGAUGAUACGUAAUAAAUAUCGUUAUUUCUUCAUUCAAUCAAGCUAACAAGUUUUCUACUUAAAUUCGAGGAUGAAUUUAUUUUAACAGGGGAGGUGGAAAUGUAAACCCACCCCAUAAUAUAUAACUCAUUAUUGUUUUAUAUGUUGGCCCGUUAAUUCAAGUCAUUUUCUUCUAUCUCUCUUAUAGGAAUGUUCCUCCUUCUCCCUUUUACUGCAAAUAUUCCCCCACGAUCCCAAACCAUCAAUUGACCCUAUAACUCUCUUGUUUUGAGUAGGUUUACUUCAACUUUAUCAAGUGUUUAUAAUAUUGUUUUAUGUUUAUUUAUUUAUAUAAAAUUGUUGAAUUCUAGGCGUUAUAUGAUAUUAGUUGAUGUUAUAUGGAAUUAUUUAAAUUAAUUUGUGUGUGGGUAGUAAUAAGUGUAUAUGAAUAUGAAUUGGAGUAAGGUCAUAGAUGGGUUGGUGUGAAGCUUUGAUUAAUUGAUAUAUUUUGAUGUAAUGAGUAAAUACCUUAAGAAAUUUGAAUAUUUGAAAGAUAAUAGGUAAAUAUUGAAGAAUUGUAUAGAAAGAAUCAUAUUGAAAUUAUGAAAAAUAUGUUUUGGGGUUGAUGAUGGAAGAAUUACAGUUUGGUCCUUGCUUUUGAGAAAUUAAGAUUUUGUCCCUAAAUUCUAAAACAAUUAUAGUUUAGUCACUGGUUGUAAAUAACAAUUUUUAAGAUAUUUUCCUGAUAAAUAUCUGAGAAAUAAUGAUCAUCUAUUAUCAAUUUUUAUUGUUAUCAUUUAAAUUUAAAAUUAAUUGUAUUAUCUACGAGCACAAGUGGUACAGUUAUCAAUCGAAUUUUAGCAAAAUCAAGGAUCCAAGAAUUGGCCUCUGUAACAUAUUAGGAAACUGGCAUGCAAACCCGACAAGAUAAAAGGCAAGGGACAAGAUAAAAUGAGAAAUAAGACACAAGAAUUUACGUGGUUCACCCAAUUUGGCUACGUCCACGGGCAAGUAUAGAAGGAUUUUACUAAGUAAUGUGGGAAUUACAACCUCUCUCUACUAAUAGGAGAACAACUGAAAUCUCUCUAUUAAUAGGAGAAAACACCUCACUUACUCUCUCACAAAUACCUCACAAUUUUGUGGGAUUACUUUCCCUCUCUCACUCUUCUCUUCCUCUCUUAUGAUGUGCAAAAUAAGCUUGGAUGCACUGCCUAUUUAUAGGCAAGCAUCCAAGCAAAGGACAAAAAGGCACCAAUUGGUGCUGCAAGUGGCACCGAAUUGGUGCCCAACAUUGUUGAAUUUGCAGCACAAAUUUGGUGCCUAACAUUGUUGACUUUGCCAACAAUGCAGCUGGCUUCACAUUCUCCCACUUGAAGACUUUGAUGAGUGAAUCAAGUCUUCACACUUAAUCAUCUGUGAUUCUUCUAUCCUUUCUAUACUUGUCAUCUUCAUGCUGCUUACAUUUCUGUUAGGCCAUAAGAGGAUCUGCACCAUAUGUACUUGUCAGUGUUGACUGGUUUGGUUAAAGCAUCUGCUGGGUUUUCCUUCGUGUGAACCUUUUGAAAAUCUACACUUCCAUCUUCCACUACUUCGCGAACAAAGUGAUACUAAACAUCUAUGUGUUUUGUUCUUGAAUGAAACGCGGGAUUCCUUGCAAUAUGCAAAGCACUCUGACUAUCACAAUACAAAAGAAUGUUCUCUUGUUUGUGCCCGAGCUCCUCCAUAAGUUUCUUCAUCCAUAUUGCUUCUUUACAAGCUUGUGUAGCUGCCAUGUACUCAGCUUCUGUUGUGGAUAAAGCUACAACAGUCUGAAGUUUAGAGACCCAGCUCACAGCUCCUCCUGCAAUUAUGAACACAUAGCCUGUAGUGGAUUUUCUUUUCUCAAGGUCGCCAGCAAAAUCUGAAUCAACAUAACCUCUGACGGUAAAUUCUGAUCCUCCAUAUCAUAAUGCAACAUCUGAGGUGCCCUUGAUGUAUCUCAAGAUCCUCUUAAUAGUAUUCCAAUGCUCUCUACCAGGAUUUGCCAUGUAUCGACUAGCUACUCCCACUGCUUGUGCAAUGUCUGGUCUUGUACAUAUCAUGGCAAACAUUAAGCUUCCCACUGCUGAUGCAUACGGUACUCGAGACAUCUCCAUCCUCUCUGCUUCAUUGCUAGGAGACAUACUUGAGGAUAAUUUGAAGUUAAUAGGAAGUGGGGUGGAAAUUGGCUUACAAUCUUGCAUGUUGAAGUGUCGUAAGAUCUUAUUCAAAUAAUUCUUCUGAGAAAGCCAAAUCUUCCUCUUACUUCUGUCUCGGUGAAUUUGCAUCCCUAGAAUCUUGUUUGCUGGUCCCAAGUCCUUCAUAUCAAACUCCCUAGCCAACUGUGCCUUCAAUUCUUGGACUCGAUCUUUGUUGGAGCCUAUUACCAACAUGUCAUCCACGUACAACAACAAAAUGAUGAAAACAUCAUUUUCUUCAAACCUCUUGUAAUACGUACAAUGGUCUGAACUGAGUCUGUUGUACCCAAGGCUAAUUAUGAAGGAAUCAAAUCUCUUGUACCAACAUCUCGGCGCCUGUUUGAGACCAUAUAGAGAUUUGUUCAACCUGCAAACCAAGUUCUCCUUGCCUACUUCAGCAAAACCCUCUGGUUGGAGCAUAUAAAUUUCUUCUUCAAGUUCUCCAUGAAGAAAUGCAGUUUUCACAUCUAACUGCUCUAAGUGAAGAUCAAAUAUAGCACACAUCGCCAAGACUACUCUGAUUGUAGUAAGUCAUACCACUGGAGAAAAUAUCUCAUUAAAAUCUAUUCCUUCUUUCUGAGCAUAUCCUUUCACCACCAAUCUUGCACGAUACCGCUCCACUUGAUUAUUGCCAUCAUGCUUUAUCUUGUAAACCCAUUUGUUGCCAAUGGCCUUCCUUCCUUGUGGUAGCGGAACAAGAUCCCAAGUGUUGUUCUUGUGUAGAGCUUCAAUCUCCUCUUGCAUCGCUGUCAUCCACAUAGAUACAUCUGUGCUUUUGAUAGCCUCAUGGAAAGUUGAUGGCUCUCCAUCCUCUGUUAGAAGACAGUAUGCAAUGUUGCUCUCAGUAACAUAUUCUGAGUGCCAAGCCGAUGGUCUUCUUUCACGAGUUGACCGUCGAACUUCAGGAGUUUCAGAUUCUAUUUGUUCUUGUUCUUCAUGCUCUGGUACAGCUUCAGAAGAAGUAUGAUUCUGAGUAUUUUCCAUCUGGACUGCUGUAGUCUCCUUUGGAAUGCUAUUAUGUUCUUCCAUUUGUAUUUUACCUUCUGCAAAUAUAACAUCUCUGCUGAUGACUAGCUUGUGGGAUUGGGCAGUGGGAUCCCACAAGCGAUACCCCUUCACUCCAUCAGCAUAUCCCAAGAAUACACAUUUUCUGGAUUUUGAAUCCAGCUUGUUGACUUCUUGAGUAUUGUACAUCACGUACACAGGACUUCCAAAUAUAUGUAAUUGAGAAUAAUCAGCUGACUUUCCAGUCCACAUCUCCAUCGGUGUCUUCAGCUCAAUUGCAGUUGAUGGAGAUCGAUUUAUCACAUAACAGGCGGUAUUGACUGCUUCUGCCUAGAAUGACUUUCCUAGACCUGCAGCCUUCAACAUUGCUCUCGUUCUUUCUAAUAGAGUUCUGUUCAUCCGCUCUGCCACUCCAUUUUGCUGUGGAGUGUAUGCCGUUGUGAACUGCCUUUUGAUACCUUCAUGUUGACAGAAGUUAUCAAAUUCAUCACUGGUAUAUUCUCCUCCAUUGUCAGUCCUCAAACACUUGAUCUUCUUUUCAGAUUCAAGUUCCACCCGCGCUUUGAAAGUUUUAAAGAUUGCGAACACAUCUGCCUUCCUUCUAAUUGGAUGCACCCAACAUCUCCUGGAGAAGUCAUCUAUGAAUGAUACAAAGUAUCUUGCUCCUCCCAAGGAUACAACCGGUGCUUGCCAAACAUCAGAGUGAAUCAAGUCUAAGAUGCAUUUGCUCUUAGUUGUUGAUGUGCCAAACUUCAACCUGUGUUGUUUACUUGUAACACAGUGCUCCCAAAAAGGUAAAGUAACCUUUGUAAGCCCAGGGAGUAACUUCUGAUCAAAGAGAACUUUCAAACCUUUCUCUGACAUGUGGCCUAGUUUUUGAUGCCACAUCAUCGUCUUCUUUUCUGCAGGACUGGCUGAUGCGAUUGACGCUUCUGCCCUAUGAUGUGUUUCUCCCAUUAAUACAAACAUGUUUGCAACUAUUUUUCUCGCCUUUAAAACUACCAACGCUCCUUUGACAAUUUUCAUUAUUCCAUUGUCUGUUCGGAUCUUAUAGCCAAGACUAUCAAAUUGUCCCACAGACAAAAGAUUUUUCUUUAAGUCUUUCACAUGACGCACUCCUGUAAUAGUACGAAUUAAGCCAUCAUACAUCUUCAAUUUGAUGGUGCCAAUGCCAGCAAUCUCUAAAGCAUGAUUAUCACCCAUGAACACUUUGCCUCCAGAGAUGGGUUCAUAUGUAUGGAACCAAUCUCGAUUAGGAGUCAUAUGCCAUGUUGCUCCUGAAUCCAUUAGCCAGACCUCAGUAAGCUCUUCUCUAUCUGUAGAGAUUGUCGCUGCUUCACUAUAUAAAACCUCCCCAUCUUCUGAGGUGCUCGCAACACAUCCUUGAGGUUUUGAUGACUCUGCAGUAUUCUCUAUACCCCUUUUAAACCAACAAUCCUUUUUGAAGUGCCCUUUUCUGCCACAGUUGUAGCAUUUCACAAUCUUCUUACUUCUUGAUUUGGACCUCCCUUGCCUUUGACUCCCACUGGAGCCACGCUCCGUUGAUCUCCCUCUUGACAUCAACAAUGCCUCUGCUUGGUUUGAACUAUUUCUGUCUCCUUUAUUUUUGCGCCUAUUUUCUUCUUCCAAGAUAGCGGCUGCAACAUCAUCAAAGACUAAAUAGUCUGUGAGGAUAUUAUUGGUCAAGUUGAUAAUGAGCUGAUCAUACGAAUCUGGGAGACUUCGAAGUAGAAGUUCUGCACGUUCACUUUCCUCUAUUUGUUGACCCAACGUAGUGAGUUGUGAAAAUAGAGUUCUUAUUGUGUUGAUGUGGUCAGUCACUGCCGUGGUUUCUGCCAUUCGAAGGGUAUAAAGUCUCCGCUUUAAGAAAAUCUUAUUGUGCAAAGACUUGGACUCAUAUAGCUUUGUUAGAGUCUCUCAUAUCUCCUUAGCUGUUUUCUUCUCCGCUACACUUGAUAAUACUUCAUCGGCUAAUGCUAAAUGUAUGUUAGCAAUAGCAUUGCCAUCCAUCUCAUUCCAUUUUGCAUUAUCAGUGAUCUCCGCGGGCCGAUCCCCAAUUGCUGCCAAGCAAUUGUCUUUCCUUAAGAUUGCUUUGAUUCUCAUUUUCCAGAGUGAGAAAUUGCUCCCAUUGAACCUCUCAAUCUCAUACUUUGCUGCCAUUUUAUUCACCGUGAUCUAUUCAGCUAUCACUGUUUCACAGAUCUGUAACGUAUAUAGAAAUAGUAUCGUGUGAAUAAUACUUCACUAAGUAAGUUCCCAGGAAAGAUUGGAGGGGUCACAAAUGGUCCCGCUUAAAACCCAAUCUCCUUAGACAGAACUUCCUAGACUGUAUUUAAUCACCGCACUGACUUUCUAUAUACGCCAACAGUAACGUAUGUGAAUAGUGCCGUAGACGUGAAUAGUAACCGUAUACACGAAUAACUUUUGUGUAUUAACAACACCAACCAAAAGGCUCUGAUACCACUAUUAGGAAACUGGCAUGCAAACCCGACAAGAUAAAAGGCAAGGGACAAGAUAAAAUGAGAAAUGAGACACACAAGAAUUUACGUGGUUCAACCAAUUUGGCUACGUCCACGGGCAAGUAUAGAAGGAUUUUACUAAGUAAUGUGGGAAUUACAACCUCUCUCUACUAAUAGGAGAAAACACCUCACUUACUCUCUCACAAAUACCUCACAAUUUUGUGGGAUUACUUUCCCUCUCUCACUCUUCUCUUCCUCUCUUAUGAUGUGCAAAAUAAGCUUGGAUGCACUGCCUAUUUAUAGGCAAGCAUCCAAGCAAAGGACAAAGGGGCACCAAUUGGUGCUGCAAGUGGCACCGAAUUGGUGCCCAACAUUGUUGAAUUUGCAGCACCAAUUUGGUGCCUAACAUUGUUGACUUUGCCAACAAUGCAGCUGGCUUCACAUAACAUAGUUUGUAUUCUGAGCCAAUCUGGGGUGGGACUUGAAACAAAUGUUGUAUAUUGUUUGCACUGUCACUUUGCUUACCCUCUUAGGUUUUUAUUGAGAUUAGGGAUUCUAUUGUAGCUCUUUUUUCUCCUUUUAUUAUAAUAAAAUAAUAUCUAUGGAUUAAUUUUGGUAUAAUUUAAGAAAGUAAGUCCUUUAAUCAAAUUUUAGAUUGACCAUCCUCUAUGUGUUAAAAGUAAAUGUUAAUUUAUAAAAUAAUAACUAUGUUUAAGUCUUGAUUAACUCAGAAGAUGUCUUCUAAGACGCAUCUCUGUCUUCUCUUCUCUUCUCUUCUUCUCUAUAAAAUUCCUUUUUAGCUCUCUGAUGUACUUAAUGUCCCGGAGGUGUGGCUUCUUCAUAUGAAGAAAAUGUUAAGAUUCAAUUAUGAUUUUAGAUUUUAGAUUCCAUUGUCUACAAAUUUGAACCAUGAUGAUGAAGCAUACGGACCAGUCAGUAGACAACAUGUUUAUUAUAUAUGAUAGAGGUCCUCAAUGUAUUUCACGUUUCUAUGAGAAAUUUCACGAGACUAUGAGUACUCGAAUUGAUCUUAGUACAACAUUUCAUUCUCAAAAUAAUGGUUAAUAAAAAAGAACCAUUCAAAUACUUGAAGAUAUGUUGAUAGCAUGCAUACUUAAGUGGAGUUUGCUGGAACAAAUAUGUACCAUUGGUGGAGUUCGUUAAGAGGGGGGAACUAAUUCCUCGAUAUAUUAGGCCUUUGGAAAUUUUGAAGAGAAUUGGUGCACUUGCUUAUGGAUUAGCUCUUCCACCCAGCUUUUUCAUCUAAACAUCCAGUAUUCCAUGUAUCCAUGCUUUAGAAGUAUAUUUGUGCUCCAUCACAUGUAUUGGAGCCAUAAACCGUAGCAUUUGAAGAAGAUAUGUCAUGUAAAAUUCGACUGGAGAGAAUUGAAGAUAGACAAAUUAGAAAACUUCGUUCUAAAGAUUGCUUUAGUGAAAGUAAUGUGAGAAGGUCAUACCUGAGAAGAUGAUACGUAAUAAAUAUCGUGAUUUCUUCAUUCAAUCAAGCUAGCAAGUUUUCUAAUUAAAUUUCGAGGGUGAAUUUAUUUUAACAGGGGAGGAAAUGUCAACCCCACCCAUAAUAUAUAACCCAUUAUUGUUUUAUUGGUCCAUUUAGGUAGCCCAUUUGUUAUAUACAGAAGGAGAGAGGUAAGGACAUUGUUAGUCAUUUUCUUCUUUCUCUCUUACGGGGAAUGUUCUUCCUUCUCCCUUUUACUGCAAAUAUUCCCCCACAAUCCUAAACCACCAAUUGACCAUAUAACUCCCUUGUUUUGAGUAGGUUUACUUCAACUUUAUCUAAGUGUUUAUAAUAUUGUUUUAGGUUUAUUUCUUUAUAUAAGCUUGUUGAAUUCUAGGCCUUAUAUGAUAUUAGUUGAUGUGAUUUGGAUUUAUUCUUAAGUUAAUUUGUGUGUGGGUAGUAACAAGUGUAUAUGAAUAUGAAUUGAAGUAAGUACCUUAACAAAUGUGAUGGGUUGGUGUGAAGCUUUGAUUAAUUGCUAUAUUUUGAUGUAAUGAGCAAAUACCUUAAGAAAUUUGAAUAUUUGAAAGAUAAUAGGUAAAUAUUGAAGAAUUGUAUAGAAAGAAUCGUAUUGAAAUUAUGGAAAAUAUGAUUUUGUCCCUAAAUUCUAAAAAACAAUUAUAGUUUGGUCACUGGUUGUAAAAACAAUUAUAUUUUCAAACUUUCAAUAUAGAGAGAGAAAUAAAAAUAAAAAGGAAAAGGAAAAGGAAACAACCCCCAGCUUUCUUGUGCCCUUUCCCUUCUUUACAUGGCUUCCUCGAUCGAUGUAAAAAAGCAAACGCCCCAUUUGAUUUUCAAGCAGUAUGAGUGAGAAAGAUAGAGAGGACAAGAGAGGACAAGGGGGUCCUCUCUCUCUUUCCUUGCUUUUUUUAACGCGUGGACCCAGCAGUUGUUGCCACCAAAUUCCUUCCUCAAUAUUUACCAGUGCUACACGCUUGAGAAAUUUCCUUGUUAUUUUUUUUAUUAAUGAAAUAUUACUUUUACCGUAUAGCCAUUGAAUUCUAGAUCAAUUUAUCGGGUAUUGGGCCGGUUUGGAUUUAAUAAUUAUGAUUCACAGACAUACAACUAGUACUUGCAACUAUUAAUAUUUAUUAUUUUCAUUAAGUUUUUCAAACUUUCAAUAUAGAGAGAAAAAUAAAAAUAAAAAGGAAAAGGAAACAACCCCCAUCUUUCUUGUGCCUCUUCCUUUUUUUUUAAGUUUAAUGUUGGUGUUUGGGUCAACUUGCACGCAUCUCGACUAAUUUCAUGGGCUCUGAAGUUAACAACUAUGUAAGUCUCCAAUGACCAUCAUAUAAACAACCACGGGGCUCGAAUUUAAAACUAUAAAAAAAACAAAUCUCUUAAUCACAUGAUCUUAUUAAUGUACCACCAUUUAGGUAGUUGCCCUUUCCCUUCUUUACAUGGCUUACCCGAUGAAAAAAGCAAACACCCCAUUUUGAUUUUCAUUCCGUACGAGUGAGAAAGAAAGACAGGACAAGGUUUGUUGAGGCUUUUUUUUUGGAACCUCGCUCUGGGAUUAAUUAGCGAGAAUAAGAAAAUUCUAUGCAAAUUAUACAAAAUUUAUUAUUAAUCAUCAAUAUUUAUUCUUAUCAUCAAUAUUGAAUAAUGGUUUAUUUUCUAGUAUAAACUAUGAUGGGUUCGUUUAUAAAAAUAAAUAAAUUGAGGUUUUUCAAUUUCCUUUAAACAUAUCAUAGUUUUAAUACCAUUUAUUUUUACAUUUUAAAAAUAAUUUUUAAAAAAAUUAAAAAUAAAUUUUAUUUUUUAUUUCAAAAUAAUAUUUUUUUAAAUAUUUUUAAAUUAUCUUGAUAUAUUGAUAUUAAAAUUAAUUUUUAAAAGAUAAAUUUUUUCAAACAUAAAGUUUAGCCUGCAGAUCUUCCGCUGAUCCCAUCUCAUUGUUGUAUGCAUCCAAGCUAAGCCAAUUCAAGAAAGAAGAUUUGAAGAAUACCACCAGCAGCAGGAGUAAUACAUUAACAUAACAGCAUUAUGGCAGAAGGAGGGACGACCUCACUGCAAGGGCGAAGGCAUGUUAAAGACUUGGGCGUGCUAUAAUUUAGAUUAAAACUUUAUUAAUAUUUUUUGAUUAGUUUUAUUUAAAAAAAUUGUAAUUCUUGAUUGAAUUAUUAAAAAAAUUUAAAAUUUAUGUGGAGCUUUCUAGAAUAACGUUUUAACUUGGAUUAAAAUUUCAGAAUAUUUUGAGAAAUUCAAAAAUUUGAUGAAAAAUCAUAAUUUAACUAAUUUUAUGUUAAUUGAUGUAAUUUUCAAUCCAACUAUCAAAUUGAGCUGAAAUUUUACGAGAAAUCUUAAAAUAUAUUAAAUAAAAUAUAAUUAAAAUUUUAUGAUGAGUGGAGCUUGAUAAUACUAACAAAAAAAAUCAUCAAAUAAAAACAAAUCAAGAAUAAAAUGAUUAUUUCCAUUAAAAAGUAAAAUAAAUCAACUAUUUAUAUAAUAGCUAAAUCUAUUAAGAUAAAUCGAAAAUAACUAGUAAAAUCAAUGACUUGUAUUGACGAGUGUGUCUAUAUAUACAUAUAGGAACUGCUGAUUCGAUUUGAAUAUGUUAUUUGAUUAGUCUAAUUCAUGAUUUGCAUUGACUCAAAAUUACCACUAGAAAUUCCUAGUUUCGUGGUGCUUUCUCAGCCUGCAAAUGAAUAUAAAGCAUAUCCUUUUAUCCUAUAUAAAGAAUACAAUUAACCUUUUUAUCUUUUAUAAUUAUAAUUAUUGCAUUGCUAAUAAUUUGCACGAAAGAAUAUUGUUUCUCUGAAAAGGGCUUGAGAAAACCCUAAGCAUAGUAUAUAAUCUCUUAUAGGAAUCUCUUUAUUAAAUUAUCAAAAUAUCAAAGUCUGUUUCCAAAGACUAUGACUACAGUUUAUAUAUAGAAACAACCAAAUAUAAAAAUUAUUAAUUUUUAAAUAGAAAAACCAGAGAGCUUGAUAAUAUUUAAUAAAAAAAAUAAAAUAGAAAAAUUAUUCCUUUUUAAGUAGAAAAAAAUUAUAAAGAUUUAAUAAUACUAAAUAAGAAAAAUUAAAAUUUCUACACUAAAUUAAAAAAACAAAAAAAAAACUGAGAAAAUAUUUAUUAUCCCAAUAGUUCUUAUAUUAAAAUCUCAUUUAUCAUAUGUUAUAUCUAUCAAAAUAAUAAUAAUAAUAACUUGUGACUUGAACUAAAGCUACAUGCGAAAACUAGAAAAACCCGGUAGAGACCCGUUCUGUUUUUUCAAAUAUGUUUUUUCUUCUAGCUAGAGACCUUUUUUUUUAAUAUAUUUUUCUAUUGGUUACUAAACCAUUUCAAAGUUCACUAUAUAAAUACUAGAAGAAUAUUUUAUUUUUUCAAUAUGGAAUAAAAAAAAUCAUUUUUGUUUACAUACCUCAAUUUAAAAGAAUUAGAUAAUAUUUUUUUAAUAUGAGAUAAAAAAACCUUUUGAAAUAAUCUUUUAAACUUUAUUAUAUGCAACAUGUAUAAUCUAUAUUCAUAUAAAUUAUUUCUUUAAUUUUUUUCAUUCUCAUAUUCAAACUUCCAAUAUUGAGAGAGAAAUUAAAAGGAGCAAAAGGAAACAACCAGUGAGGACAAUAUCCUCCAGCUCAUCAUCAGAUCCCACGAAAGGAACGCAGAAAGACAUUCCCUUUCUUGUCAUCAAGUUUUGAAUCAAAAAGUACUUUCGUGCAUUAUUGUCAUAAAGUUUUUCAAACUUCCAAUAUAGAGAGAGAAAUUAAAAGUAAAAAUAAAAAGAGCAAAAGGAAACAACCCCCACCCCAUCUUUCUUGUUCCCUUUUCCUUCAAUGAAAAAGCAAGCACUAAUGCACCUUCUCCACAAACUACCCCCCAAUUUCGCCACUAUAUAAAUAUAUUAUGGAAAACAAGAUAAAAAGAAAUCUUUCGGUACAUCUAUAUAUAUAUAUAUAUAUAUAUAUUAUGGCUAUGAAAAUAGGUUUGUGGAAAUUUACAUGGUUUGAUUUUGACAGUGUCAGAUUAGACAAUUGCAUGGAAAUGGUCUUCUUAGUUUGCCGUGUGGAAAAUCAUGUCAUUUACGGGACUGCUGGAGAGAGUUUCUAUUGAUAAUUUCACUCGAAAAGUUUUAGUAAUUUACAAAGGAAAUUUCUCCUUUAUAUGAAUUGAAAAACUAUUAUUGACUGACUUCUUGCAAAGUAUUUGCAAGAAAGCUAAAGAAUUAAAGUUUUUCAAUUUUGAAAAUUAUAAUUUAAAAUUUUUAGAAAAAAAUCAAUUAUUUUUAAAAUUGUUUUCAAAAAUACACUACCAGAAAUUCAUCUAAUACCAACGGACUUACCGACAGAAUUAUUCUGUCGGUAAAUUGCGGUGAUAAUUACUGACGGAUACUAAUCCGUCUGUAAUUCAGUUGGUAUAUACCGACGGAAUUAUUCCGUCGGUAUAUACCGACUGAAUUACAGAAGAAAGAUAUAGAAUUAAAAAAAAGCGGGGAUGUUGACGUGACAGUUUUUGCGGGCGAUUUUACCGACGGAAUCAACGAGGGAUUCAAACCCUGAUUUUGUUUAUGAGCAAUUUUGACUAUCUUAGAGGUAGAACUAGGUUCUCUUUAAUCAUAGAACUUGUAGCCUCAUGUCUUAGCUUUCUAACAAGACUAAUCUUGCUUAAAUCGGAGUUUUAUAACUCCAGAUAUAGUUAAAAAUAUGAGGAGAGGUCAGACAGUAACAGUUCAAUGUUUAGACAGUAACAGUUCAAAAAUGAGACAGUAAUAGUUGGACAGUAACAGUUCAAGAACGAGACAGUAACAGUUAAAAAAUGAGACAGUAACAGUUCAAAAAUGAGACAAUAAUAGUUGGACAGUAACAGUUCAAAAAAGGAGACAGUAACAGUUAAAAAACGAGACAGUAACAGUUCAAUGUCUAGACAGUGACAGUUCGGGAUUUAAACAGAAACGGUUCAAAUAUAUAUAUAUAUAUAUAUAUAUGUGUGUGUGUGUGUGUGUGUGUGUGUGUGUGUGUGUGUGUGUGUGAAAUGAGAAAAAUGUAAAAUAUUAAGAAAUGACUGAAAGAAAGACUUAUUGGUUGUUGAUAUGGUUAUAAUAAAACAUAUCCUUGAGUGAGGAAGUAGAGCUUCUAUUGCAGGUAGGUAAUCCGUACCUAUACUUUCUAGUUUAAUUCUAUGAUUUAAUAAGUUAUUGAUGUGAGAUGUGAAUUACCGAAUAUGGGAUAUUAGGAUAAAGGAGGAAAGUUUGCGUAAUGAUGCCGAUAUUUGGAAAGUAUUCUUAAUGUAUGUGUAUUCAAGGUGAACGGUUGUUCUGUGAAUUGCCAAGUGAUGAAAUUAUAAUUGAUAAAGAAAAUAUGAGAAGUGUGAUUUGGGGCGUGAACUAGCAUACAUUUAGUGUAUGUUAGGAUCCCGGGUAAGGGGAUCAAGAUGUAUUGGCUAGCAUACAUUUAGUGUAUGUUAGGAUCCCGGGUAAGGGGAUCACCAUGUAUUGGCUAGCAUACAUUUAGUGUAUGUUAGGAUCCCGGGUAAGGGGAUCACCUUGCAUCGACUCCUACAUGAUGAUGAUGAUGAUAACAGUGAAAUUGGUAUCGGUAAUGUGUUAAGCGGAAAUAAUCAUGGGUGGUUUUAUGAGAUCUUGAAUGGAGGUUGAUAAUAGAAGAGGAAAUGGUUUUUAGUAGUUGAAGGAGAAAAAGUCUCCAAUAAGAACCAAAAGGGAGAAGUGAAUAAAAUAUGAAUGUAUGUUGCCUUUUUAAAUUGCUGGAUAUUUGUAUUGCUAUAUUAUUGUGAUAUUCAUAUUUCAAUAAUAUGUAUUUUAUUUUCAGGACCAUCGCAUGCAUGACAGGAGUAGAUUUUGGCUUAGGUUCUUUUUUUGUAAUUUAGGUUCUAAGGAGUAUACCCUUGUAUUUGGUAAUAUUACAACUUUUAUUUAACUUAAUUUGUAUAAUUGAUGUUUAAACUUGAAUAGAUGAACUUAAUUCGGUAGUUUGUAUAACUAUGUUCCAUUAAGCAUGUUUAUAUCUUUAACCAUCCAUAAUGAUAAUUGUUGUACAAUGUAUAUCAUCAACAUUGUGGUUGAUAUGAAUGGUGAUGUUUGUGGGAUUGAGACCUAAGAUGAUUAGGCUGAAUUGAGUUGGAGAUGCGGUAUAUUAGAAGUGUAAACAGGACGUAUGUCGAUAACUUGGGACCUCCCGGUAUAGGGGAUACUCUGUUAAAAUUUCACUAGACUUUAAUGCAAAUACCAUGAAUAGAUAUAUAUAUAUAAAAUUUAGUCACUCUGUUUAUCAGCUAACAUGAGAUCGUUGCUUUAUCCCUGAUAUGGGAAUGUUACAGGUUCGAUAGAAGUCAUGGAUGAUUGUUCAUGGAUGUAUCGAGAUCCAUGUGUUAAUUUUGACAACAUGUAUUAAUUAAGAUGACAACAUGUAUUAAUUAACUAACAUAGUUAACUAAUACAUGUUUUCAUCAUAAUUUUAUAGAGGUUCGAUAAAAGUCAUGGAUGAUUGUUCAUGGAUGUAUCGAGAUGCACCCCAUGGAUUGCAGAGGAUUCUUUGAAGAAAAUUCAAAUUUUCAUGUUUUCGAUAAUAGUCUUGUUGAUGUUGACGCAGAGGAGUUGAAUGUUGUUUUGAGCUCUAACGGACAAGCAAAUAUCGAUGAAGAUGAUGAUUAUGAUGACAUCCAUAUUGAAGAUUGCGAUGGAGCUGAUGACUAUUCAAUUGAUGACGAAGAAGAAGAAAAUUCUGACUAACUAGCAGAAUCAAGGAAAGUGCAAAGCAUUUUUCUAAAAUGUAAUAUGUAUUAUCGAUGAUAUUUUGUAACAUGAAAUAUUUAUUUGAUAAGUGUUUAAGUGUUUUUGUGUGAUGGGCAGUUUGUAAUUUAAGUGUUUGUAGGAAGGUAAAUAGGCAAUACAAACAAAAGUUUUCAUGCACAGUGCACGAUCACCAACGUCCAUACCGAUGGAUUACAUUUCGUCGGUAUUGCACAGAGAGCUGUAAAAUAUUUAUUGGAAAUGCCACAAUCACCGACGACUUUGCAGAUGGAUUACCGUCCGUCGGCAUUCAACAGAGAGGUUCACUGGAAAUGCCACAAUCACUCACCGACGACUUUGUAGACAGAUUAAAGUCUGUCAGCAUUCCACAGAGAGGUUCACUGGAAAUGCCACAAUCACCGACGACUUUGCUGAUGGAGUAGAGUCUGUCGGCAUUCCACAGAGAGUGGUGGAAAUGCCACAAUCACCGAUGACUUUGCAAACGGAUUACAGUCCGUCGGCAUUGUGUCGGCAGCUCACAAUUAUCGAUAAAUUCACCAACGAACGGUGUGAAUUCCAAAGGACGGGUAAUAAAUGCAUAUCUGAUAGCGUGCAGCUGCCGACGGAAUUACCAACGAACUGCGAAAAAUAUGGAGGGUAAUUAAAAAAUUCUGGAGCAAAAUUCAAAAUUUACCGACGGAGUUAAAUGUUCGUCAGUGAAUCCGUCGGUAAAAUUACGAUAUAAAUGCCAGCGACCGCCCUUUGAGUUCAUUUUUUCAUCUCCUUUGUUUUUAGAGCUUAACUUUUUGUUUUUUUUCCCUCUCAUUUCCUUCAAAUCUCUUGUUUUUUCUUGUAAUCUCUAGUUAUAUCUUCAGCAAAUUAAAAGGUAUGUAUUUCCUCUACUUAAUUUGCUUUAAGAUUUUACUUUUUUAUUUGUUCUUUGUUUAGCAAUUGUUAUUUUUGUUAUGUUUUUUGUUUUGGUGUAUUUUCAUAAUGUAGAUAAAGUCUUACAAUAAACACAUUAUUAAGGUAAGCAUUUUUCAUUCUUAAAGUCUAUAGUUUUUUUUUUAACUUGUUCAAUAUAUUUUGUUGUUUGUUUUGCCAUAAUAAUUAGGGGUGAGCAAAUUCGGUUCGGUUCGGUUUUUAUCUAAAAAACUAACCAAAAUCAAAUUUUGAAAAACUUAAAAAUUCAAACCGGACCCAAACCGGAACCGGUUCAAACCGACCGGUUUCGGUUCGGUUCGGUUCGGUUUUUUUAUCAGGAAAACCGGAAAACCUGUAUUAUUGUUUUUUUGGGCUUUUUCGGGCUUUUUAAUGGGCUUUCUGAUGGGUUUUCUGAUGGGCUUGUAAUUAAUGUAAAUAUCAUCUAAUUUUGUUACAAAAUUCUAUAAUAUAUUUAAUAUUUUUUAUCACUAAAUAUUCAUUUAUAUUAAAUUAUUAGUGCUAAUAUUAUGUUUAAUAUGUUGCACAUCUUUCUAAUAUUUAUAUUUAGGAGUUUGGACUCCUCAUGCAUCAAAAUUUAAAUAACACACACACCAAAUUAAAAUUAAAAUUACAAAGCAUUGCCUUCAAAAUGGGCUUAAAAAAACAACAAAUAACAUUGCCAUAAAAAAUAAAAUACUUCAUGCAAAAAAUAUAAAUCUUCAUUGUGCACAUCAUCUCAAUCAAAAAGCACAACAAGAUGACAAGAACAUUGCACUUUGAUUCCGUAAUACCAUUGACAUCAAAACCUGAAAAUCAAGAUCUAAAAUUAUAACAUGAUAAAAUAAAUUAGAAUAUGUAAAAAUAAAUAGUAGUAUUUUACCAUCAAAGUAACUUUUGAACUAAUUAUCAUUUGUUACUAAAUGUAACUUUCCACCAAAUUCUACAAAAUAAAAAAUUAGACAUGUUAGAUGAUUGCAAACAAUUUAAUUAAUAAAUAACAAAAUAAAAGGUGCAAAUUUCUAAAAACAAUUACCUGACUCAAGGUUUUCGUAGGUUUCAAGAUCAUUUAUCAAGCUUCUAAUAUCAGUUGGAAUUGAUCCAUGAUGAAACCAAUUUUGACAACAAAUGAGUGCUUGAACAGUUGCUGGAGAUAGAGAACUUCGAAAUUGAUCAAGUACACGACCACCUGUGCUAAAUGCUGAUUCAGAAGCCACUGUAGAUAUAGGAAUAGCCAGAACAUGUUGUGCAACCUUUGAAAGUGUCUUAUAUUUCAAAGCAUUACUUUUUCACCAACCCAAAAUAUCUAACUUAUCAUCAUUACGAUCCUCACAACCUUCAAUCAAAUACCUCUCAACCUCAUUUUUAUUUUCCACACUAUCCACCUUCAGCAAAUGUCUUUUGAAUCGAGCCAAAGUGUUAACAUCUACCUCCACAUCAUCAAUAGCAUUAACAUCCUGUUUAUGCCUAUUAUUAUCCACCACUUCAUCAAUUUUCAAAUAAAACUCAUACAAGCUCACCAAAGUAUCUUUCACCUUAUUUGUUAGCAAUUGUGCUUUGUCAUAAUCAUACAAAUCACCAAAACAAAAUUCCACAUAUUUCAACUUCAAACAUGGAUCUAAGACAUUAGCCACAUAUAACAAAAAAUUCUGAUUUACUUCACAACCCCAAUACUUCUCAAACUUUAACAUCAUCUUCAUCGCCAUUCCACUUUAACAAGUUUGUAUGCAUGUAAAUCAAUUCAUUGAAGAAAGAAUUUGAUGUGACAUGCAAUGAGCCAGAAAAUAUCAAUGUAACCAUAUAAAAGAUCUUUAAGAACUUAACCAAAGUUCUUGCAUUUUCCCAAUCCUCCAAACUAGGUGGCCCUAUGUUUUUUUUAUUCCCCUUUGAAUCAACCUCCAAAAAGUAACUCAUAUACCUAAGUUCUCUUUCACCUAACCUCACAAAUACCUUUUCAAACUUUUCAGCAGCUUCUAGCAUAAGAUAAGUUGAAUUCCAUCGAGUUGCAACAUCUAAACACAAUGAUUUCUUACACUCUAUAUGCAACUUUUCAGCACACUUCUUAAAUGCAAGAUGCCUCAACGGUGAAGAUCUCACAAACCUAAUGGCAUUUCGAAUCUUAACAACUGAAUCAUUAAUCUCUUUCAAGCCAUCACACACAAUGAGGUUUACAAUGUGUGCACAACAUCUAACAUGCAGGUGCUCAUUUGACAAUAUAUUAGUUGGCCAAUCUUUCAUCACAUUCUUUAAAUAUGAAAUGGUCACAUUAUUAGAGCUUGCAUUGUCUAAUGUAAUAGUCAACAGUUUAUCAAUCCCCCACUCCAACAAACAAUUCUCAAUAACUUGGCCAAUUGUCUCACCCAUAUGAUUGGAAACUUGACAAAAAUUAAGAAUUCUUUUAUGCAAAUUCCAGUCAUUAUCAAUCCAAUGAGCUGUUAAACAAAUAUAGUUAAUAUUUUGGAUUGAUGUCCAUGUAUCUGUUGUCAAGCACAAUCGUUGACCCCUAAGAGCUGUCCUCAAUCUAUCCUUCUCUUCAACAUAAAGUUUCAAACAAUCUCUCAUAAUUGUAAAACGAGAAGGAAUGUCAAAUCUAGGUUGUAUAGUCCUAGCAAACAAUUUAAAUCCCCGACCCUCCACAAAAUUAAAAAGCAACUCAUCAAUUAUAACCAUCUUUGCUAGUGCUUGUCUACAUUCAUCAUAAUUAUAACCUAUUGCCUUAAGACUUCCCACAUUUUGUUCUCCCAAUUCACCCUUCUCUAUCUUAGGUUCUAAUACCAAAACCUUUUGUUUCUUAUCAAUCACAAAAGGGAACUUCUUGUACACUUUUAAAUGACUCCACAUAUUACUUGUGCCAUUAACAAUAGUAUGACAUGCAUAAUGUUUUCCACAAUAAUUACAUUCAGCUCUAGGGGUUUUAGGAUCAACAUCAAGUUUUGUAAAGUGAUCCCAAGUUUGUGACUUCUUUUUAUCAUCAGCAUUUCUUUUCCUAGAUGAAAGGACUUGAGGUUGUUUACCUUGUGUAUCUGUGGUGGAUCCUGCAUUGGUUGAUUCUACAUUAGGUUUUGAAGUUGGAGAAGUAGUUGAUGUUGGUGUAGUGCCUGUGGAUGAAGCAUUUUGAAUUUGAGUAGUUUCCAUCUGUUAUUAUAUAUGAAAACAUGUUAAAAACCAAUAAUUUAUAAUAGAUUAACAACAGUAUGACAUGCAUAAGUUCAACUGUAAUUUUAAAGAUUAUUUUCACAAGUUAAGUUCUUUUAUUUUGGUUGAUAUGUUGUAAAAACAAUUAUGUUGCUGAGUGCUGAGAUUGUAUUUUGUAAUUUCAAUAGACAAUAAUACAAUACAAUAUAUAUAUAUAUAAACAUUAUUCUCUUUUCAAUAAAUAAAAAAAAUUCAGUUUUCAGAAUUGAUAAAUUACAAUCCACCGAAUCCCCCCUCUUUUUUUUAACACAGAUAAUAAACAUUAUUCUCUGUUUUUUUAGCACACAGCAUUGACAGCACACCAUAAUAAUGGAUUAGCAAUAAUAUUUAAAACAAAUGCCUCUCGGGGAAACUGUAUUUUCCCAUUUUUCUCCCUAAUGUAAUAUCAGGCUCAUAAUACCAAUUCACCGCAUUGGUAUUGCAAGUUUUUAUCAUUUGUUUAGUAUCAUUUUCUUCUUCAGUCAUUUGGCUAUUGACAUAAUGAGAUAAUUUUUCUAAUCUUUUACCAGUACUCCACCUUAGAGUAUGAGUGGAAUUCAAUCUCUAAUGUCUAGCUAAAAGCCUAAAACGGCACAAAGAGGUUUCUUUAGUAAUGAUCAAGUUUUACCACUACCAGUGCCAAUUAUUCCCAUUUCUUUCAGUGAUGUGCUGUUAGCUUUAGCAUUUGGAACAAUCAUAACAUAUUGUCUUUCUCAUGACCAGUGCCAUUUCUACCAGUGCCAAUUAUCUGUGUUUUGUAUAUUAAAUUAACAUGCAAGAGUUUGUAUAUUAAAUUAACCCUCAUUCCGAUAUUAAUCUAGAUUCCAUUAUUUUUUCAUUGCUACUCAUGACCUUAAUAAAACACGAAUUCAUUAACAUAUUGUCUUUCUCAGCAAAGAAAAAACGCAUUGUCUCUGUCAUAAAUCUCUUCUUAAGAAGUUUAUUAAAAAAUAAACAGAAUCACAGAGCAAUAGAGCAUAUGUUCAAAAAAAAAACAGAGACAAAAAAAAAAUCAUACCUGGUGUGACACGAUUCAAGGUCGGGUGUGAGAGAGGGAGGUGACUGCCUCACUGGUUCGCUAAAUCUGGAGUUGGACUCUGGAGGUUCGGUGAGCCGGUGUGGUGUGUGUCCUACGAUUCAAGAUCAGGUGUGACCGUGUGAGAGAGGGACGUGGCUGACUGGGGUUUGAAGAUGAAGAUGGUGGCCGGUGGGAGAGGGAUGUGGCUGACUGGCGUUUGAAGAUGAAGAUGGUGGGAGAGGGAUGUGGCUGACCGGCGUUUGAAGAUGAAGAUGAAGAUGGUGGGAGAGGGAUGUGGCUGGUUGUGGUCCAGUAGAUGAAGAUGGAUUGAUUUCUUACAUAUGUGAAAUUGUGAGUUGUGAGUUGAGGGAGCGGCUUAGGAGAAAGGAGAAGGACGGCUGGAGCAGGAGUAUGGAUGCUAGGGUUAAGAAAAACAACGCGAUUUUUUUUGUAGCUAUUUAUAGUACCCCUUAAACCGAACCGGUUCGGUUCGAUUGGGGUUUUUCCGGUUUCAGGUUUCUAAAACCGAAACCGAACCGAACCAAACCAAAAAUUUUUACAAAAAAUUUAAUCGGUUUUUUUGGUUAUUUUUUUUUCGGUUUUCUCGGUUUAUUCGGUGUCUCGGUUUUUUUUCUCACCCCUAAUAAUAAUUGAACACUUUGUUGAAUUUUAAUUGUUAUUGUUGAAUUUACCUUGCAAUUAGUAAUUGAAUACACUGGAAUGAAUUUAAUUAUUUUAUCUCAAUUUUACUGUAUUUUUGCAUGAUAUGUGUUUAAUUAUUUUGUUGAAUUUUAAUUGUUAUUGUUGAAUUUACCUUGUAAUUAGUAAUUAAAUAUAUUGGAAUAAAUUUAAUUAUUUUAUUUCAAUUUUACUGUAUUUUUGCAUGAUAUGUGUUUAAUUAUUUUGUUGAAUUUUAAUUCUUAUUGUUGAAUUUACCUUGUAAUUAGUAAUUGAAUAUAUUGGAAUGAAUUUAAUUAUUUUAUCUCAAUUUUACUGUAUUUUUGCAUGAUAUGUGUUUAAUUAUUUAGUUGAAUUUUAAUUGUUAUUGUUGAAUUUACCAUGUAAUUACUAAUUGAAUAUAUAAGAAUAAAUUUAAUUAUUUUAUCUCAAUUUUACUCUAUUAUUACAUGAUAUGUGUUUAAUUAUUUCCAUUAAUUUUAAUUGUUAUUUGUAUAGAUGUUAGGUUAUAUGUAAGAUUUUUGAAUGGGGGUCAAUUGGUUGUGGCUAUUGUUAAUAUUUGAAGGUUUGAAAACUUUGGGUAGUCUCCAGUAUAGAAGAGACGCUGCUGAAUUUUUUUUAACAAUCGAAUUUAAUUAUAUAAUUAUUCUUAUAAAAUUGCGUAGAUGUGUAUAAUGAAAUCAACUGUUCGUCGCUCACAUAUGGUCGCAGCUAGUUCUUCUAGCAGCAAGAAUGACAUUUCCUUAGGUGUCAAUCAAGAAGAGGUACCUGCACCACCUACCGAUGCUGCCUCUUGCAGCACGGUUUCACAGCGCAGAGACGGCGUGCCUUCACAGUGGAAUCAAUUUACUUACAAGUACGAGGCACAAUGGAAGAACGAUGUUUCAAUGUAAGUUUGUUUUGAUUUUAGUUUUUUUUUUAAUUAUAACAUAAUUUAUGAACAACUAAUCAAUAUUUCAUUAAUUUAAUUUAUUUUCAGGUUCACAAACAUUGAGACCGUCCGAGUAAUAUCAUCGGCGUUUAAAUCGUCGAUGGAGAUUCCAUUAUUUCAAUGGAGUUAGGUAUCCAGACAUCCUGAAUGGAUACCUAAUAUCGAUGCAUGGUUUGAUAAAUUUGAGGUUGGUGUUAAUUUCUAAUUUCCAGCUUAUUUUUAAUAAAUUAUUAAUAUAAUUAUAAAUAAAUUAUUAUUUUUAUUUUAAAUAAAUUAUGUAUACGUGGCACAAAUUCGAGUAGGACAGCACACAUGAUAAUAUUGUGAGGAGGGUGUGGGAAAAUCAUGCGGCAACUAAGUAACAUCGAAAACAAUAUGAUAUUUUUUAAAAAAAAAAUAUGUUUUAAAAUCUAAUUUGUUACUAUGGAAGUAGGUUGUGUGAUUUUUGGUAUGAAGCACAAAAAAAGGUAAAAAAAAAAAAAACACGAGAGAUAGAGGUCUCCAAGGCUAGAACGACGUGGCGGUUUGGGGGGAUUUCAAACCGCUACACAUCCCGGAAAAUAUUUGGCCGGAAUAUAUUGAGCACGUGACGUCUGAGCGGUUCACACGACGCUCAAAGUCUGGUGCUGACAACCGGAACAGGCAAAUUCAUGGUUCACUGACAACGCACAUCGACGGCUCCGUAUCGUUUGCUACACAUGCAAAACGGAUAUAAGAUUAAUUUAAAUGAAAUAUAUCGUUAAAUAAUUUGUUGUUACUUAAUUAAUUUUUUUUCUUACAGGCUACGUCUCUUGGACGUGAGCCGAGCCCAAUGGAGCUGUUUGUAGAGACGCACAUGCGGAGUCAAGACCGCCAAAAGGGGGUGCAACAGUUCGUUGACAACCGCGCUCAACACUUUGUGGUAUGUUCGUUCAACCAUUUUAUUUCGUAAGUUAUUAUUUUUAUUGAAUUGAAUAUGAUGAUUUUUUUUUAUUUUCAGGAUACCUAUAAUAGUCGUUGAGGGAGAGAUAUAGGGACGAUCCUUCAAUCCAUCCGGAUUUCAAUCCGGAUUUGUGGAUGGCGGUAGGAUCGUCCGGUGGACUCGAUAAAAAUCAGGUGUAUGGGCUCUCCAACACCACGGCCGAGAACUUGCGAGCGGCCAGUAGUGCCUCAACCGUUGGGAGCUCCCAAUCUAAGGAGUCCGUGGCCUUGCAGCAACACACGAGUCAUCUCACCGAGAAAUACGAGCAACUCUCGACGAAUUAUGAACUUCGCCAAAUUAUCAUGAACAUGACAUCACAGAGUGACUUUAUGGUCUCGGGAAAAACCAGCCUCCUCCUCCUCCUCCUCCUCCAGCCCCGCCAUUCUGCUAAUUUAAUAUUUUUUUGGAAACACAUUCAAUUUGUAAUGAAUAUUAUUUAACUUUAUUUUUUUAUUUUUGAUGUUUAAUAAAAUUUUAUUUGCAUAAUAGUUUUUUUUACUAUUAAUUUACAUAUUUUUAUAUUAUUUAUUCUAAAUAAUUUUUUAAAAAACAAAUUUAAAAAACCCCACCAACAGAAUUCAUCCGUCGGCAUUUUACAGAAAGUUGAAAGAUAUUUACUAAAAAAGGCCACAAUCACUGAUGUCUUCACAGACGGAUAGUGUCCGUUGGCAUUUUACUUAGAAUCAAAAAAUAUUUACUGGAAAUACUAUAUUCACUGAUAUUUUCACAGACAGAUUUAUUUCGUUGGUAAAUACCGAGAGUUCAAACAAUGACUUGCAUUGACGAGUGUAAUAAUCUGGAACCACUCGCAAUAAAUAAAGCCACAAAAGGCAGACGAGAGUGUCUAUAUAUAUACAUAUAGGAACUGCUGAUUCGUGGUGCUUUCUCCUGCAAAUGAAUAGAAGACGAGUGUGUCUAUAUAUAUACAAAUAGGAACUGCUGAUUCGUGGUGCUUUCUCCUGCAAAUGAAUAGAAAGCAUAUCCUUUUAUCCUAUAUAAAGAAUACAAUUAACCUCAUUUCAAUAUCCUUGCUUUACUCUUCAGCUAACUUCUCUCUCCCAUUGCUGAAAUUUCAUAGCUAACUCUUUGUUAUAUAGAGGUAUAUAUGGCUAACUCUUCUUUGCUUCUUUCGUGUUUUAAUUUCAUGUCUUUACCAUUAACAAUAAUGUGAAAGCUUUGUUUGUUUCAUGUUUAACUUCAGUUGCUAUUGUCUUAUGCUCUCUCAUUAUUAAGCUUAAACUGUUGUAUCAUCUUCGAUGAUCUUGACAUGUAUCUCUUACUUGUAUUAGCAAGAGAGUAGAUACCUUCUGCAAUUGCUCCAUUGCUAAUUGACUGUGCCUUGAUUUCUGCAGCUGCCAUGACAGAGCCGGAGUCUUCUCGAUCUAUAUCACUAGGGGCCUAUGAUGUCUUCUUGAGUUUUAGAGGAGAAGACACUCGCAAGACAUUUACAGAUCAUCUCUAUACUGCCUUGGUCCAAGCAGGAAUCCACACUUUUCGAGAUGAUGAUGAACUUCCGAGGGGAGAAGAAAUCUCCGAUCAUCUCCUCAGGGCAGUUCAAGAAUCGAAGAUAUCCAUAGUUGUCUUCUCAAAAGGAUAUGCUUCUUCUAGAUGGUGUCUCAAUGAACUUGUAGAGAUUCUGAAGUGCAAAAAUAGGAAAACCGGUCAGAUUGUUCUUCCUAUAUUCUAUGACAUUGAUCCUUCAGAUGUGAGAAAACAGAAUGGCAGUUUUGCAGAAGCAUUUGUUAAACAUGAAGAGCGUUCUGAAGAGAAGUUGGUGAAGGAGUGGAGAAAAGCUCUUGAGGAGGCUGGAAAUCUAUCUGGACGGAAUCUCAAUGAUAUGGCAAAUGGGUAUGCCUUUUUCCCAAAUUUAUGGAGUCAAUAUACUUUACAUUUUUCAAUGUGAAACAAUAAAAUGCUUAAUUGACUCGCUAUCAAUGACUGCCUUUUGUCUAUGAGCAGGCAUGAAGCAAAAUUUAUCAAAGAGAUUAUCAAGGAUGUGUUGAAUAAAUUAGAUCCCAAGUACUUGUAUGUUCCUGAGCACCUAGUAGGUAUGGAUCGGCUUGCUCACAAUAUUUUUGACUUUCUAAGUACUGCAACCGAUGAUGUACGCAUUGUGGGCAUACAUGGGAUGCCAGGAAUCGGAAAGACAACUAUAGCAAAAGUUGUAUUUAAUCAACUCUGCUAUGGAUUCGAGGGAAGCUGUUUUCUUUCGAAUAUCAAUGAAACACCAAAAAAACUUACAGGUCUUGUUCGUUUACAAACGCAACUUCUUCGUGAUAUUUUAAAACAAGAUGUUGCAAACUUCGAAUGUGUUGAUAGAGGAAAGGUUCUGAUCAACGAACGAAUUCGUCGCAAAAGAGUUCUUUUUGUUGCUGAUGAUGUGGCUCGUCAGGACCAGCUAAAUGCUUUGAUGGGAGAGCGAAGUUGGUUCGGUCCGGGAAGUAGAGUAAUUAUUACAACAAGAGAUUCAAAUCUUCUUCGUAAAGCGGAUCAAACAUAUCAAAUUGAAGAAUUGACACGAGAUCAGUCCCUUCAGCUUUUCAGCUGGCAUGCCUUUAAGCACUCCAAGCCAGCAGAAGAUUAUAUUGAGCUUUCGAAGGAUGUAGUUGAUUACUGUGGAGGACUUCCUUUGGCUCUUGAGGUUAUGGGUGCUUGUCUGUACGGGAAAAACAGAGGUGGUUGGAAAUCUGUAAUUGACAAAUUGAGAAGAAUUCCAAACCACGAUAUUCAAGGAAAGCUUAGAAUAAGUUAUGACUCACUGGACGGUGAAGAACUACGAAAUGCAUUCCUUGAUAUCGCUUGCUUCUUUAUUGAUAGAAAGAAAAGGUACGUCGCAAAAGUGCUAGGAGCCCGUUGCGGUUACAAUCCAGAAGUUGAUUUGGAAACUCUCCGUGGAAGGUCUCUGAUUAAAGUUAAUGCCAUUGGAAAGAUAACCAUGCAUGAUCUAUUACGAGACAUGGGAAGGGAGGUUGUUCGUGAAACGUCUCCAAAAGAACCUGGAAAGAGGACCAGAAUUUGGAACCAAGAGGAUGCAUGGAAUGUACUUGAGCAGCAGAAGGUACGUAAGAGCGCAAUGCAUACAUGAAAGCAUAGUCAUGCGUAUUUUCUAGUCAAACUUAUUACAAAUAAUUGUAUGAAAGUUGGAUUGAUUUUUUUUUAGGGUACGGAUGUUGUAGAGGGUCUUGCACUGGAUGUAAGAGCAUCAGAAGCUAAAUCACUGAGCACAAGAUCAUUUGCAAAAAUGAAACGCUUAAAUUUACUCCAAAUCAAUGGAGCACAUCUCACCGGAUCCUUCAAACUGCUUUCUAAAGAGUUGAUGUGGAUUUGUUGGCUUCAAUGUCCUUUGAAAUAUUUUUCAUCUGAUUUUACCUUGGAUAAUCUGGCUGUUCUUGAUAUGCAAUACAGUAACCUCAAAGAACUAUGGAAGGGACAAAAGGUGUGAAACAUUCUACAAUCCCCAAAAUUUCUCCAGUAUGUAAUUUAUAUUUACAUGUUAUGACUUUCUAUGAUUAAUUUUCAUUAUUUUGCCCUCUAUUAAGACAGAUUCUCAACAGGUUAAAAAUCCUCAAUCUCAAUCAUUCUAAGAACCUUAUUAAAACACCAAACUUGCACAGUUCAAGUCUAGAGAAACUAAAGUUGAAAGGUUGCUCGAGUUUAGUUGAGGUGCAUCAAUCAAUUGAAAAUUUGACAAGCCUUGUUUUCUUGAAUCUGGAGGGAUGUUGGAAUCUGAAGAUUCUUCCUGAAAGCAUUGGCAAUGUAAAGUCUCUUGAAACUUUGAAUAUUUCUGGGUGUUCACAACUUGAGAAAUUGCCAGAAUGCAUGGGUGAUAUGGAAUCCUUAACCGAGCUGCUAGCAGAUGGGAUUGAAAAUGAGCAAUUUCUCACUUCAAUUGGACAAUUAAAGCAUGUCAGAAGGUUAUCGUUGUGUGGAUACAGUUCGGCUCCACCAAGUUCUUCUUUGAAUUCAGCAGGUGUUUUGAAUUGGAAACAGUGGCUGCCAACAUCUUUUGGAUGGAGAUUAGUGAAUCAUCUUGAGCUUUCUAAUGGUGGUUUGUCUGAUCGCACAACUAACUGUGUUGAUUUCAGUGGUUUGUCCGCUCUAGAAGUAUUGGAUCUAACAAGAAACAAAUUCUCUAGCCUGCCUUCUGGGAUCGGCUUCCUUCCCAAGCUAAGGCGGUUGUUUGUUCUGGCAUGCGAAUAUCUUGUAUCAAUCCUAGAUCUUCCCUCAAGUUUAGAUUGUUUGGUUGCAUCUCAUUGCAAAUCAUUGAAAAGAGUAAGAAUACCAAUCGAGCAAAAAAAAGAUCUAUAUAUAGAACUACAUGAAAGUCAUUCGUUAGAAGAGAUUCAGGGCAUCGAAGGUCGAAGUAAUAGUUUCUGGUAUAUUUGUUCUAAUCAGUUCAGUCAUUCACCAAAGAAAUUACAGAAAAGCGUUGUUGAGGUACUAUUUCUUUCAGUCUCUUUUGCACACGAAGAAACACACAAUUGGUACAUACAUUGAUUAAUGUCUAAAAUCUCAGCAUUUCUUGAAAUCAAUAUGUAUACAGGCAAUAAUCAUCAUUAUUAUUAUUUUAUUUUAAAAAAUAAAUAUGUUUAAUAAUAUUUUUUAUUUUUCUUAUUUAAUCUAAAAAAUUAAAUAUUAUCUUUAAUAAUAUGUUUUUAUUAAAUAUUUAAAGUCUGAUUGGUUUUAUUUUUUAAUUAUUUCUUGAUUUUAUGAUAAUAUACAGGUAAUGUGCAACGGUCGUCACCCGUAUCGUAUUUCCCCCAUUCGUGGUGAGAUGCCAAAUUGGAUGAGCUGCAGUGGAGAAGGAUGUUCAUUGUCAUUCCAUAUACCUUCAGUCUUCCAAGGCUUAGUUGUUUGGUUUAUCUGUCCACUUGAACCCGUGACAAUUGAAUUCGAUUCUCGCAUUAUUAUUAUUAUAAGAAAUAAAAGCAAUGGUAUUCAAUUGUUUGAAGAUAAACGAACACCAGGAACUGACAUGUUUUUUAUUGAGGGAUUCAUAAGAUACAUAAGUAUAAGUGAAAUGGGAAUGGAAGAUUACUGUGGAGAUGACGAAUUGGAACUCUGCAUUUAUUCAGAGCCAACAGAGCAUGCGGUGCGCCGUCUUCCAUUCUACCCCGUACACAUUAAAGAAUGUGGGGCCCAUGUGAUCGCAAAGAAGUUAAAUUCAUUUGAAGAGUCGGCAAUGGGAAGAGCUACAGUGAUGCCUUCACCAUCGCUGUAUCAUCUGCUUCCUCAUCCCCAUUGUGGUUCAAUUACAGCAUCUACACCUAAGCAAUGGAGUAAUUAUUUAUUUGCGAAGCUGCAAGAAUAUAACCUCAGUUUAACAUUUCAUGGUAAGAACAAAUAUUUCCUUUAGUUAUUUUUAUUCUAUUAUAUUUAAUUUAUGAGAUUAAAUAUUAUCUUUAAUUAUUUCAUUAUUAUUAUUUAAUCUAAAACAUUAAAUAUCAUCUUUAAUUAAAAAAUAUAUAUAUAUUUAAGGCUUUUUGGUAAGAAUACAUAUUUCCUUUAGUUAUUUCUAUUUAAUUUAAGAGAUUAAAUAUCAUCUUUAAUUGUUACAAUAUUUUUCUUAUUUAAUCUAAAAUUUUAAAUAUUUUCUUUAACAAUAUUUUUUAUUAAAUAUUUAGAGUCUACUUGGUUUUAUUUUUUUUCUUGAUUUUAUGAUAAUAUUUUUCUUAUUUAGUAUAAAAAAUAAAUAUUAUCUUUAAUAAUUAGAUCUAUCGAAUAUCACUUAAAAAAUAAAUUAUAACUUUAAUAAUUAUUUUUUGAAAAACAAAAAGCCAACAAUCACUAACAUAUUUUAUUAAAAUCACUUUAGUUUAUUUAGAAAAUAUUGAAAAUUGAUUAUUUUUUUUACAUUAAAAUAAAAAAAUUAAAAAAUGUUUUUAUAUUUUAUUUCAAAGUCGAUAUUUUAAAACAAAAAUGAAAAAGAUGUGAUAUUAACCUUUUUUAUUAUAAAGUAAGUUUUUUAAUUAAAAGUGAUGAGAAUUUGUUCGUAAUAACAAAAUGCAUGUUUAAUUUUCUUUUCAAACUUGGAAUAUAUUUCUAUUGAAUUUGAUGGUUUUUUUAUCUUAAAACACUUGCCAGCAAUCUUGUUUUUUCAAUGCUGCCAUUUAGCAAGUGGAGUACUGUAGCUUUUCCACAUACAUUGAAUAAUAACAGUUUGAAUAAAUAACAAGAAAAUAGAAAUUAGUUUUAUUAAUUUGAACGGUACAUCAUUCAUCGAAUAAAUUACAAAAAAGUAUUAUUGAGAUACUAUUUUUUUCAGUUUCUAUUGCACCAAAAUAAACACAUAUAUUUGUCACAUAUAUUAAUUAAUAUCAAAAAUCUCUGUAUUCCUUGAAAUCAAUAUGUAUACAAGUAAUAAUCAUUAUUAUUUUAUUUUAUUUUAAAAAAUAAAUAUCAUAUUAAAUAAUAUUUUUUAUUUUUCUUAUUUAAUUUAAAAAAUUAAAUAUUAUCUUUAAUAAUAUUUUUUAUUAAAUAUUUAAAGUCUGAUUGGUUUUAUUCUUUAUUUCUUGAUUUUAUGAUAAUAUAUUUAUACAGGCAAUGUGCAACGGUCGUCACCCGUAACGUAUUGCUUCAUUUCGUGGUGAGAUGCCAAAUUGGAUGAGCUACGGUGGAGAAGGAUGCUCCUUGUCAUUCCAUAUACCUCCAGUCUUCCAAGGCUUAGUUGUUUGGUUUGUCUAUCCACUUGAGAAGGAUUGUCAUAACCUAUUUUUAGGUUAUUUUUCAAUAUAUAUAUUUUUUUUUCUUCAAAAAAAUUACAAAAAAAAUCUAAAAAUAUUAUAAAAAAUAUAACAGUAAAAAGAGGAUGUCAGAACGCUCAGAAAAUAGUUAAAAUUUGGUUGAGGAGGUUUAAAAAUAUAAAAAUUAAAAUUUGGUAGUAUUUUAUUAACUGAUGAUAGCCCUGUUGACAAAGAAAAUUCAAUUUGAGAAAAAAAAAGUCUAAAAUCAGAUGUUGAGGGACUCAAUUAAAUUAUAUUGAAAGUUUAAUUGAAUUUAUGGAGGGUUUGAUUGUAAGAAAAAUUGAUUUUGGAGUUAAUUUGGGCUUUAAUUGGAAGAAAUUAAAGUUCUGGGGUCAGAUUAUAUUUUUUUUUAGAGUUGAUUUGGUCAAAUUGGGGGCUUAAUUGCAUAAAUAUUAAAGUUUGAUGGCCAAUCGGGGACUUAAUUGAAGAAAUCUGAGACCAAGGACCAAAAUGCAAAACGCGCGCAAAUUGAAGGAUUGAAUUGAAAUCUAGCGCUUUGGCUCCAAUUUUCAUUUAAAUGAAACAGUGCGUUUUAAGCAAAACGACGUCGUUUCAUGCACUUUCCAAAAAAAAAAAAGAGGACGAAACGGUGCCGUUUUGAGGCGGCACUGUUUCUUCUUCUUCUUCCCCUGGACAUGCAGCAGGGGAAGAGGCGUUUUUGUUUUCUUCUCUUUGUUUCUUCCUCUCCCUCCCCAUGUGCUCUGUUACAACCAAAACCGGUCGCCACUUGCCUCAUGAUGAGAUGCCAAAGCAGUCGUGCCCCGCAAGCGACGCCUCCAUUGGCCACCUCUGUCGGCGCCGUGACAGAGCAGGAGACGUGCGACGCAUGCAUGGGCAACGAUGGGACGGGGCAGGGUCGACCCCGCUCCCCUUGCCCCUAUAAAUAGUGACCCGAAAGGAGAAAAAAAGGAACACGGGAGAAAACAGGGAGGGAAACCGAGAGAGAGAAAUCGAUAGUGUUGAGAGAGAAAUGACUGAAACAGUAGAAACCAAAAAAACCGGGGAUAUCGAUAGGGAGACCGAGAGAGACAGACGGGGAGAAGGAAGAAAAAGGACAAAAGAGGUAAACCGAUGGGGAAGAAGACACUGACUGGUGUCUCUACACAGCGGAGAAGAAGCGCCGCUGCUGGCAUUGGGCUUCACAGUCACCGCCACCGCAACACCACCGAGAACGUUCACCAGCAUCACCGUCAGCUCAGCCAUCCGAGAUCACCACCUCAGGUAAAUUCUCUUCCCCUCACGCCGAUAAUUAUUCAUCUUCUUGCUUGUAGAACGUGCACUGUGCACGUUCUGCAUGCAAGAAGAAAUAAUUAGUCGGUUACCGUGCAUGCGCACAGUAACCGGCUAAUUAAUUAACUAGUUACUGUGCUCAUGCAUAGUAACUAGUCAUUGGUUUCUUCUUCUGCGAGUUGGAACAUCAGCCCAGCCCACGCGACUGGGCUGAGUCCAACCCCCUUUUUUUUAUGCGGGCUGGAACAUCAGCCCAGCCCACGCGGCUGGGCUGAGUCCAGCCCUGUUAACUGCGGCCUGGAACAUCAACCCAGCCCAUGCAGCUGGGCUGAGUCCAGCCUUGUUGCUGGGCCAAUACAGGCCCAACCCAGUUCAUUUCAUUUUUUCUUUUUUCCUUUUUGUUUUGUGUUUUAUAUAUAUAUAUUGUGAUUUUCCCACGGAUUUUUCUACGUCAUUUUAACUAAUAUUGGUCUAUAUUUUUUACUCGGUUUUCAAAAAAAAAAACUUUUGCUUUCAUGCAUACGGCCAAGUCUCUCAAAGCUAAAAAAUCAUAUUGUAUUUUUAUACAACAAAGAAAACUAAAAAAAUAUAUAUUAUUUUAGCAUGCAUUUUAGCUUUAAUAACCAGUUUAUUAAAGUCAUGAUAACUUGGCCAAUAUUUCAAAAAAUCAAAAAAAAUAUUUUGUUUUGUUUUAAUGUCUGGGAUUACGAAUUUAUACGUAAAACGUAUUCCCGAUAUUAAAAAGGUAGUUCUUUUAUAGACAUUAGGCCGGUUAGAUUUUUACCCCAUAAGAUAAGAACCUCCUUACUGAGGAGGGCUUUUCUUGAACCCUAGACAGACCAACAUGAUAAGACCUUAGAUUUUUUAUUAGACAAUAAAACAAUGCAGCUUACCUUAGGUAGGGUGUAUUUGAGGUGCUAAUACCUUCCCUUUGCGCAACCAGUCUCCGUACCCGAUCUCUAAGACCAGUUAGGGUUCCUAGUGAUCAGAAUACUAGGUGGCGACUCUCAUUCCAUUUUUUCACCGCUAAGAGACAAAGAAUUCCUUGUUUUACCAUAUUUUCCAGAAUAGAUAGACAUACCACAUUUGAUGAUGAGGGUGGUGGAUGAUCGCCGCACACGUGCGAUAGAAUGGUGACUCCACUGGGGACCCAUCAAAUCAAUCAACAGAAAAAAAAAUCACCAAGCCGAUGCCGCGCGGGUGACAUGCGACAAGGAUGAUCAUUAUUACUCACGGUCUGGCACUAUUAUUAUUAUUAUUAUUAUUAUUAUUAUUAUAAGAAAUAAAAGCAAUGGUAUUCAAUUGAUUAAAGAUAAACGAAUAGUAGGACCUUUCCUACCAAAAACUGCGGGAUGGAUAAGAUACAUAAGUAGAAGUGAAAUGGAAAAUGGAAGAUUACUGUGGAGAUGACGAAUUGGAACUAUACGUAUAUUCAGAGCCAAGAGGAGAUACAGUGCGCAUCAUUAAAAAAUGUGGGGUUCAUGUGAUCGCAGGGAAGUUAGAUUCAUUUGAAGAGUCGGAAGUGGAAAGAGAUAUAAUGAUGCCUUCACCACCGUUGUAUCAUCUGCUUCCUCAUCUCCAUUGUGGUUCAAUUACAGCGUCUACACCUAAGCAAUGGAGUGACUAUUUAUUUGCGAAGCUGAGUAAAUAUAACCUCAGUUGAACGCUUCAUGGUAAGAACAAAUAUUUCAUUUAGUUAUUUCUAUUUUAUUCUAUUUAAUUUAAGAGAUUAAAUAUUACCUUUAAUUAUUUCAUUAUUAUUAUUUAAUCUAAGAAAUUAAAUAUCAUCUUUAAUAAAAAAAAUUAUUAAAUAUUUAAGGCUUUUUGCUAAGAAUACAUGUUUCCUUCAGUUAUUUCUAUUUUAUUCUAUUUAAUUUAAGAUAUUAAAUAUAAUCUUUAAUUAUUUUAUUUUUCUUAUUUAAUUAAUCUAAAAAAUUAAAUAUGUUCUUUAAUAAUAUUUUUUAAAAAAUAUUUAGAGUCUGAUUGGUUUUAUUUUUUAUUUCUUGAUUUUAUAAUAAUAUUUUUCUUAUUUAAUUUAAAAAAUAAAUAUUAUCUUUAAUAAUUAGAUCUAUCAAAUAUCACGUAAUUAAUUAUAUCAUUAUUUUAUUGGUAGCAACUUAGGAGUCUUUUAAGCCAAAAGAAUAAUAGCUAGGAAGAGCUAAAAUUAGCAAGGAAUAUUUAGAGUCUGUUUGAUUUUAUUGUUUUUCUUUGAUUUCUUAAUAAAAAAAAUCAAAUUCUUGAAAACAAAAAUUGAAAACUUAUACGUUUUGAUUUUGAUUUUAUUUUUGAAAAUGAAAAGCCACCAAUCAAUAGCAUAAUCUAUUAAAAUCACUUUGUUUUAUUUAGAAAAUAUUGAAAACUGAUUUUUUUUACAUUAAAAUAAAAAAUUGAACAAUAUUUUUAUAUUUUAUUUCAAAUUUGAUAUUUUAAAACAAAAAUGAAAACGAUGUGAUAUUAACCUUUUUUUUAUUAUAAAGUAAGUUUCUUAAUUAAAAGUGAAGGUGAUUUGUUUGUAAUAACAAAAUGCAUAUACAAUCAUGCAAAAGUUGUAUUUAAUCAACUCUGCUAUUGAAUUUAAUGGUUUUUUAGGGAACAAAUGAUAUGGAUGAAUGUGAGAGCACAAGAUCAUUUUACAAAGAGAUUGAUUGGUACUUAAAAAUAUAUUUUUAUUAAGGUUUUAUAUCAUCAUAUUGCAUUUAAAGUAUAAUUAAAUUCUCUAAUUUAAGCAUAUUUUAUAAUAACAAGUCUGAUAACAUAAAAUAUAUUUAAUUUAUGGUAAAUGCUCAUUUUGAAUGCAGGCAUAUCUCACAAUUUAAAGGAUUGAUUGAUGUGUUUAACUAUUAAAAGUGAAAAGACAAAAAGAAGGCUAAGCUUAAAGAAGAAAUGUUGGUUCAAUUCAAACUGGAAUAUCAUUAUGUUAUUGAAUCAUAACUAUAGCUAUAGAACAUGGAUUUAGGUUUGGUUUAUAUGGAUGGAAAGCUAAGACAUAGGCCUAAAACUUUCAUGAAGAGUUCAAGAUUCAAAACGGCCCUUUUCAAGUUCAAAUUAUAGCAACAAAAGAGAAGUCGAAAUAUGACUUGUAACCUAGACACUGUUCAGUGUUCAGCCCAUAUCUCGAGUUCUAGAAGUUCAAAUAAUCUCAUUCUUGUUUUGUUGGAAAACUGAGACAAAUGCCCAGAAGUUUCAUGAAGACUAUCUGUUCAAAUUUUGAUGUUAGCAUGUUGUGUUCAGACAAGAAGAUAAUGGUUGUCACCAAGUCAAUAGGUGGCCACCCACUUAAUAAUUAGUCAUUAAAUCAAUAGUUCUGAAUUUUGGACUCUAAAAGAAGGCAUUUGCCAUACAUUUAGACAUCUUGGUGUUCAGAUCAAGAUCUUGCUCUCACUCUCUCUAUUUGUAUUUUGUAAUGUUCAAGUUUUAUUUUAUGUUAUAUUAAUCUCUUAUUUAUGCUUUUCAUUUCUUUUACUAUACUUAGUUAACUUAUAUCAUGUUUAUGUUAUUAUGUUGUUUAUUUAUGUUUUUCUUCUUCAUGAUGUUUAUCUAAGUUAAUUUUGUCAAGGUGAAAAGGGUACACUAAUGGUGUAAGAAUAAGUAUAAUACAAACUCCACAUAGACUUUAAUGUUUAAUACUAACAUGUUUUGUAUUUGUUAUCUUACUCACUCUUUAUACCUUACUUGUUAAAUGGUUAAUCUAAAUUUAUGUUGUACAACCCUUGGCAUAACAAAUACUUGACACUUUCAUAACCUACUGUAUGGUAUAAUCAACACUUGUGCUAUGAAAGGAACUUGAUUUAUUGUUAACAUAAAUUAUCAUCAUGAAUACCUGACCACAUUUACAAGUAUUGGCAUUACUCAAAUAAGAUAAUUAAUAUAAUCAUGUAUGUGGUUUCUAGUUGAGUAAUAAAAAGAGUUUAUACUAUACUUAUUUGAAAUACCUCUAACUUUAACAAUUGUUUUAUCCUUGUUUAAUCCUUACAUCAAUAUCACAUUUCAAAAGUUCUCUUCAACUCCUUUUUAAUUGUUGUUUAUAAUUUUAUAUAAUUCAUCUCCCUGUGUUUCAACCCCGGUCUUGCCGGGUUAUUUAUUACUUUGACACUCCUGCACUUGAUAUAAGACAUCAAUCUCUUGAUCGUGUUAGAGAUGCUUGAAGUUACUCUUUAUUGGUAUGGUAGUUGUUUCUAACGAGUUGAUAAGUAUUUGUUAGCUUGAAGAUUAUUUUCCAAACUUGGAAGUUAUAUUGAAUGCUUUUUGAAAUCUUUUCCAUCCGAUUUGAAAUUGGACAACCUAAUUGUUAUUAUCCAUUAUGUAAUUUAUAUUUUCAAGUUUCAACUUUUGAUGAAUAUUGUAUUGAAUGCUCUUUGAAAUCUUUUCCAUCCGAUUUGAAAUUGAAAAACCUAGUUGUUAUUAUCCAUGACGUAAUUUAUAUUUUCAAGUUACAACUUUUGAUGAAUAUUGUUUCCUUUUUUUCUCACUUCUUGGAAGUAUUCUCAAAAAGAUGAAAAUCCUCGAUCUUAGUUAUAAAUAAAUUGGUUUUCUAGGAAGAGAUUAUUAGGUGGGAUAUAUUAUUUGAGUUGGUUCUUCAUCAUUUAAUGUUAUGAUUUAAGAUAAUUGAUGAAAACUACCAAUACACAAGAAUGUUUAGAAAGCAUCUUUAAUUGGUCUAAUAAGUAAAGUCUUGUUAGUUUUGGCCAUAAGCUAUGUAUUAUUGCUUGUUUUUUACUAUUUUUUUACCUUUUUUGUUUUUUGUAUAUACAACUUUUGUUUUUCUUGCGAGUUUCUCAUUAGCUUUAUGGCACUAACAUCAAUUAAUAAUAAAUCUUGGACUAUUAUUAAAUAAAAAAAAACAUAAACAUUGUUAAAACACCAAACUUGCAUAGUUCAAACCUAGAGAAACCCUAUGCCAAUAAUCUAAUUUAAAAAAAUAAUUAAUUUAUCCUUGUAGUCUUAGAAAAUAGUAUUUAAUCCUUAUGUUUUUACAUUUAUCUUUGAUUUAACCUUUUACAUCUAUUUCAUCUUAUUAUUUUGGUUUACUAAGUAAAGUCUUAGAAACCUAUUUAUGGUCUUAAACAACUUAAAAAGGCUCAAAAACCUAAAAUGAACUCAAACCUGAAAAUCUUCAUGCUGAGAGGUCUGUUUCAUCAAGCAAGGAAAAAGAAAAAAAAAACAUAGGUGAAACUUCCCUCAUCAAAUAAAAUCCAAUGACACUAGGAUUGACUAUUUUGGUGGCUAGAAUAGAAGUCAACGAUAACAUUUUCUUUCCACGUCGGAAUCUAGCAAGUUUCUCUCUUCUCUCACAAAAAAAAACUAAAAAAUAAGGAAAAUAAAGUUUGGUAUUAAAAUCAAAUUUCCGACAACUAAAGAGACCAAUCACCUAUUAACUAAAAACAAUUGGGGACCGAACUAAGUUUUUCAUAUGAAAUAUGAAGUUGACAUCUAUUUUCUCCAUGUUUUUUACUUUGGUUAUCUAUCUUUCAAUCCAACCCUUUCUUCAUAAAAAUAGAAGUAACUUUGUAUUAAUUUGGACUAAAAAAGGUACAAUAGUGCAAAAACAAAUUGAGGAUCAAAUUGAGAAUUAAAAAAUAAUUGAUUAUUUUAAUCUAUAAUGAUAUGUGAGAGAGUGCACAUUAUAAAGUGAAGAGAAAAAACUCCACAUGACUUUGAAACACCUUUGAUGGUUGAUUGAAAUUGGUAAGUGAGUUUCCUCACAUGUUGUUUUUUCGGUUUUGAGUCCAAAUAUGGAGAUUUUAUGAUUUAAGGUAUUUUUCAUGAAUGCAACCCUUCAUGUAUUCAAUAACUUAUUUUCUAGUAUAAACUACGUUUGAAAUAAAAUUGAUAAAAGACAUGUGGUACACAAUUAAUGAUGGCAUGUAUAUAAAAAUAAUUAAAUUGAAAAUUUUCAAUUAUCUUUAAAGAUAUCAUGGUUUUAGUCGGUUAAAUUAUAAAAAAAAUAUUUAAUUUUUUGAUAUAAAUAAUAAUAACAAAUUAGAUAAUAGUAACAAGAAAAUAGGAAUUAGUUUGAAUAAAUGGUACCAGUUCCUAUUAUGAUAUAUCUAGAGAAGAAGUUUGAAGAAUAAAAUGAAGUGAAAUAUUCUUAAUAAAAAAAGAAAAACACAAAAAGAAAUAAAAAAAUAUUCUUAAUAAAUAUAAAAGAUGGGUGAAAUUAGAGAACAAGAAAGAGAUAUAGAAUCUCUUUGUAAGAUUUCUAAAAACUUAAUUACAAUUAUAUUAUAAUUUCUUCCCUAAAAUUAUUUAAAAUAUAGUAUUAGAAUUACAUAAUGCUAGGUUUUAAUAUAUAAUUAAAGAGUUUCUCCUUAACCAAAUAUAAAAAUAUUUUAUAAUUCUUUUGAAUGAAUUAUUAACGGAGGGACUGUUUUGGGUCCCUAUUUAGCUGAUUUUAUUUGAAUAUAUUAUUUGACUAGUCCAUUUAUAGGUUUACUCUACUAUUCUUGCCUUACUGGAACCGGAAAAUUCACUCGAAAUUUCUAGUAGUUUACACAGAAAUUUCCUGUGCUAAACUUCAAAGAAUUUCUUUUCUUUUCAUUUUGUAUUUUCUCAUUUUCUUGGCAUGCGCGCAGCUGCAUCAAGGAAAAAACGUUUCAGAUGCGUGUAAUAAAUCCAAUCGAUGAAUGAGAAAGGGACGCAAAAUAAAGAUAAAAGUGGAAUAUUCUCAUUAAUUGGUCAUCAUUUAAACGUUGGACACAGCCAUCUAUAUGUUGUUUAAAGAAUUUAAAUGGUUAGUCAGAAAGGAUUGCUUUUUAAUUAAAAAUAUAUUAAAAUAAUAUUUUUAAUGCCAAGUAUUUGUUCAACCUCAUUAAUGCUAACGAGUGGACCCAGUUGUUGUGGAAACUUUGCUAGGGAUCUGGAGUGUCAUAAUCCAAAAUUAUUCCUUAAAAUUUAUAUUUUUUCAAAAUAAAAAUCAAAAAAAUAAAAUAAAGGCUGGCAACGUGGAGAAAGCAGGCCGGAAAAUCAAGCUGUAAUUUUUGGAGGAAAUUCAAGGCGUAAUUGUACCCCACUAUGCCCCAAAAUAGAGAGAAAAUAUAAAUUCAAGGUCAAAUUAAAUGAUUAUUUGACAAAUUUGCAUAAACAUUAAGUCCGAUGACAUAAUUAAAUUUUUAAUAGGCCAAUUUGAUUUAAUCACGGGCCAAAUUAAAUUUUAAUUAUGUUUAAGAAUUAAUUUGCGUCCAAUUGAAGGAUUUAAUUAAGUGCAAGGACUUAAUUAUACUUUAAAUGGGUCAAAUUAAUUUUAUUUUGGGCUUAAUUGGUGAAAACUUAAGUUUGGGAGCUUAAUUGAGAAGAUUGGAAUUUUAAGAGACCAAAUUUAAUUCUUACCAAGUUAAUUGAUUGAAAUUAGGGGCCCAAUUGCAAGAACAUUGAAGUUUUGGGGUCAAUUGGGGGUUAAAUUGAAGAAAUUGACAGCUAAGGACCACUCUGCAAAAGGCGAAAACAUUUGGGGACUUAAUUGACAACCACCGGGGCAAAAUUGAAGAAAUUGAAAGUAUAAUGGUCAAUUAGAGGUUAAUUUGACAAAAUUCGAGACCAAGGACCAUAUUGCAAUAGGCGCGUAACUUUGGGGUUUCAAUUGAAGUUUAUCAGGGGCUUAAUUGCAUUAAAUCCAAAGUUAAGGGUUAAUUAGGGGUUCAAUUGAAACCAAUUGAAAGAUGGAGGACUAAGAUGAAAAUAUGUUAAAAUCCCUAAUUCAACUCAAAAUGGCGCCGUUUUAUAUUAAAAAAGAGAGAGAGAGAGGGGACCAGACGACGCGUUGUCGGGUCACUGUUCAUUGUCUUCUUCUUUUACCCGAAAGAAACUGCUUGGGAGCCUUAUUUGCAGGUGCAUUUAAUGCUUGAUUUCUCCAUAAAAUUGAACAAAACUUGCACGAAAAGGAUCCCCUGCAAUUCCUCUACAAACCCAUGUGAACUUUUCAGGAUUAAUGACAGCACAGCUACGCCGGAGAUGGCGUGAAGAGGUCAACUCAGGCAGCCUUUUCCUGCAGAUUUGACAACUCAGGGAGGCUACUUUGAGCCAACAGUUGGGAUCCUUCCCAACAGAAUCAAGAGCUAAAAUUUUACCCCAGUGCAAAAGAGAUUACCCUCUUCGACCGCCUAUAAAUAGAGGCUGAUUUGAUGGCCUGAGGGAGGAAAAAAAAUCGGGUCCAAAAUUUGAAAAAAACAAGCUCCCACUGCCCCCGUUUCUGCAAUUUCUCUCUCUCUCUCCGUCGCUUCAACCACCACCAACCUCAUCACCAGCUUCUCCACCACCAGCUCCAUCACAGUAAGCCACCAACCGACCACCGAGAGCCACCGUGAACCUUUCUCUCUCCUCUGCAAACCGGUUUCUUCUUUCUCCCACAGCGACUCCACCGGCCAAAACUCUCCACCAACGCCGCCAUCAGCCUCUUUUCUUCCACGACCAGACCACCGCCAACUUCACGCCAGGCCAGAGACAGCAGCUUCUUCUCCUCCGCAAGGUCGCCUCCCACUUCACUCCGCCGUCUGCGCAAAGUUGCAUGCAGAACAUGAACUUACUGUUCACGUUCUACAAUUAAUUCAUCCCUCACUUGGGCCGGGCCAUAAAUGUUUGGCUGGGUCUGGCCCGGCCUCAAAAGAAAAGGAGAAAGAAAAUAUGUUGGGCCGAUAUCGGCCCAACCUUUUUGGACCGAGAUCGGCCCAACUGUUUCUGGGUUUCUGCUUGGUCCAGUUACUUGGGCCAUCCCGGCCCACCUGUUUUAAUAAUAUUUAAUUAAUAUAUUAUAUUAUAUUAUAUAUUUCCUUUUAAAAAAAACAAAAAAAUCCAAAAAAAAUUUCAAAAAUCAUUUUUAAAAAAUUACGAUUUUCUCAAAUAUUUUUCUACCACUUUUGUAUAAUAUCGGGUUGUAUAUUUACACUGUAAAAUACAAACCUGGUAUUAAAAUACCCGGUUUUCUCCUAAAUAUUUCAAAAACAAAAUUCAAAACAUUUUCAAAGAGAAAAAAAAUAUUUUGUUGCAUACGGCCAAAUCUUAAAAUUUUUCCAAGCAUAUUUUUCAAUAAAAAAACAAAAAUUGCAUCUUUCUCCAGUUUUGAAAAUAAAAAAAAUGGAUAUCAUAACCAGUUUGUGAAUAUCCAUUAGAAUUUGGCCAACAUGUCAAAACCUUUUUCCAAUCUUUUUAGGGUUCAGAUGCAGACUUUAGUAUUUGUGGAGUGUAAAAUUACACGAUAAAGUACACCCUCAGGUAUUAAAGAUACAAGGUGUAAAUAAAUGCGAUGCUAAAAUUCAGACUUUAGAAUGGUUAGGAUUUAACCUGAUAAAGUAAAGACUUUCUCAUGAAGAGAGAUCUGCCUUAAACCUUAAAAAAGACCAACGAAUAGAAACCCGAUUUAGAAAAAAACAAUCAAACAACAAUGUAGCUUACCUUAGGUAGGGUGCACUGGGGGUGAUGCGUCUUCCCCUUGCACAACCAGUCUCUUACCCAGACUCUCGCAGACCAUAGGUUUCUAGUGAUCAUAAUACUAGGUGGCGACUCCUAAACAUUAAUCAUAAUUUUAUAAUUAAAUCCAAAAAACCUUCCCAACACACAACACCUCACACAGGAGGCACGACAAGAAGCCUUUGCCGUCGCCAGACGACGUCGCGCCCCUUGCGACAUGGAGGAAGAAAAAUGAUUGCAUUGCUAAUAAUUUGCAAGAGAGAAUUCUUUUUCUGAAUAGAAAAAACUAUUAUUUUUAAAAUAAAAACAACUAAAUAGAAAAAUUAUUAUUUUUUAAAUAGAAAAACUAGAAAAGCCUUGUAAUAUUGAAUAAAAAAUAAAAUAGAAAAAUUAUUCUUUUAAAGUAGAAAAAAUUAUGACAAUUUAAUAAUACUGAAUAGAAAUAAAUCAAAUUUUUAAACUAAAUAAAAAUAAUAGAGAAAAAUAUUUAUUAUCCUAAACUUUUUUAUAUUAAAAUCUUAAUUUAUAACAUGAACUGAGUCUACAUGCUAAAAUUAGAAGAACAAAAAAAAAAUGUAACAAAAAAAUUCCAUACAACACAAUUAAUGAUGGGAUCAUAUAUUUUGAGACUAAAAUGAGGUUUUCGAAUUACCUUUAAACAUAACAUAACAUGAUUUUAAUAGAUGUACUGUACAUCAUUUGAAUUUAUUAGAAAAAACAUAUAAUGUAAAGUAUGAACCACUUACCAUUAACUAGAUUUUUCAAUUGGAUUUUUUAUUUAAAUGAAAAGGAAAAUUUAUUUUAUUAUGAAAAAUAUUUUUUAUAUAUAUCUAGUAAUAAUAAAUUAAAGGAUAAUAACAAGAAAAUAACAAUUAGAUCGAAUAAAUGGUACCAAUUUCUAUUCUGAUAUAUCUAGCCAAAGAAUAGAAUGAAUCAAAAUAUUCUUAAUAAAAAAAAUAGAAAACACAGAAAGAAAUAAAAAAAUGUUCUUAAUUAAUAUAAAACUAUUAAUUUACAAAAGAAAUUUUCUGGUACUUUAUACUGUAUAUAAUUUGAAAAAUUGUGACUGACCGACUUACUUGCAAAGUAUUUGCAAGAAAGUUAAAGAAUUAGAGUUUUUUAAUAUUCAAAAUUAUAAUUUUAAAUUCUACGAAAAAAAUCAAUUAUUUUUAAAACUGUUUUCAAAAAUAAAACAUCAACUAUUUAUAUAAUAGCUAAAUAAAACAAUUAAAAUAAAUAAAAAAAUAACUAGUAAAAUCAAGUGAAUAAUCCAAAAAUAACAAGAAAAUAGAGAUAUUUCCUAAAUAUGAUUUCAGUUUGUUGUAUUGAUCAAUUUGCUAACAUAAAUAGCAUAAACGAACUUUAUUCUAAUAGUAUGUUUGAUAUUUAAAAAAAAAAAAAACUUAUAGAUAUUAUAUGGGUUGGCAACCCAUUUUUUAUUAAAUUUUAAAUUUUAUUUGUUUAAAAAUAUUUGUUUAUGUUUUUUAAUUAUUUUAAUAUGAUAAUAUCAAAAAUAAAUAAAUAAAAUUUUUCUAAGUUUUACUACUUCUGACUUGCUUUGACUCGAAAUUAGUGGUGCUUUCUCCUGCGAAUGAAUAGAAAGCAUAUCAUAAAGGUGUGUUUGACAUUGUGUUUUGGAAGUAUUUUUUAAAAAAAUAAAUUUUUUUAUUUUUUUUCUUCAAAUUAUUUUUUUUGUUGAUGUUUUCAUAUUAUUUUGAUAUGCUGAUGUCACAAAUAAUUUUUAAAAAAUAAAAAAAUAUAUUAUUUUGAUGUGUUUUGAAAUGAAAAAACUUUAAAAAGCAACCGCUACCACACUCUCAAACUCCUUUGUUUAUUGAGUCUUACUGUGAAACCUCGUUUUGGGAUGAAUUGAUUGUAAGAAUAAGAAAUUAUGUGCAAAUUAUACAAAAUUUAUUAUUCAUCAUCAAGAUUUAUUAUUUAUUAUCACUAUUGAAUAAUGAUUUAUUUUAUAAUAUAAAUUAUGUUUAAAAUAAAAUUGAUAAAAUUAAAAUACAUGAAACGAGGUCGUAUAUUUUGAAACUAAAUUAAAAUUAUUUUCUUUUUCAAUGAUAUCAUUUGUUAGUUUGCAAGUCCACAUGUCACGAGUCUCCACUGCAUGAAAUUUGCAAAAUCAUAUGGCCCAUUGAUAGAAGGUGUGUUGAAGCAAAAUCUGUUUUAUUGAUUAUCAAUAUUGAAUAAUAGCUUAUUUUCUAGUAGAAACUAUGUUUGAAAUAAAAUUGAUAAAAGACAUGAUAUACAAUUAAUAAUAGGAUCGUAUAUAAAAAUAGGAAAUUUCCUGGUAAUAAAGUCCCAACUUUCGUAGGCGAGCACUAAAGUCCCAAACUUCAAGAAUUUCUCUUCUUUUCCUUUUGUAUCUUCUCAUUUUCUUGGCAUGCGCGCAGCUGCCUCGAGGAAAAAACGUUUCAGAUUCGGAAAAUAAAGAUAAAUGUGGAAAAAAAAAAUCCCAAAUAAAGAUAUCUUUUCGUCCCUUGGUGUCGUGUGAAUACCAUGUGGAUAUCAUUUCAGAAAAUCAAUUCAACCGUUCUCCAAAGAACACUCAUACUCCAAUAUCAGCAACUACCACGAAAGUUACCACUCUAAAUUCCAGCUCAAUAAUUAAGGUUCCAAGAUAAGCCUAAAAAAUAUUUAUUAGGCUUAUCUUAAAGCCUAAUAAAUAUCUAAAAAAAAACAAAAAAACAAAAUUCCACCCUAGGCUGUGAUUAACAGAUUAUCUGAUGGAAACAUGAUGAGCUUUUUUUUAGUGAAUUAAGUUCAAUUAAAAAAAAAUUAAGGUUAAAUUGAUGAUUAAUAAUGAAUUUUGUAUACUUUGCACAGGAUUUUCUUAUUCUCGUCAAUUAAUCUUAAAGCGAGGUUCCAAGAUAAGCCUAAAAAAUAUUUAUUAUUGAUCAACAAUAUUGAAUAAUGGCUUAUUUUCUAGUAUAAAUUAUGUUUGAAAUAAAAUUGAUCAUAAGAGUAGAUGAUAUACAAUUAAUGAUGAAAUCGUAUAUUUUGAGACUAAAUUAAGAUUUUUCAAUUAUCUUUAAAUAUUAUGGUUUUAAUAGGUGGACAAUGCAUUCUUUGAAUUUAUUACAAGUAAUGUGUAAUUUAAAUUAUAAAAAAAUAUUUAUUUUUCUGAUAUACAUGAUAAUAAUAAAUUUGAUGAUAGCAACAAGAAAAUAGAAAUUAGUUUGAAUUAGUACGUUUCUCAUUAACAUUAAUGAUGGAAUCAAAAUCUUUGUUAGCGGUCACCUGUUCGACCUCAGUAAUGUUAACGCGUGGACCCAGCUGUUGUAGAAACUUUGCAAAGGAUCUCGAGGAAGAAAAAUGAUUGCAGUGUAAGACUUAAUUACCGAUUCUAUGAUGGGGAAUAAAUAUGUUUAUAACAGAAUUGUAAGUUAUAAUAUGUAAAAUUUAAUUAACGAUUCUAUUAUACGAAAUAAAUAUGUUUAUAACGUAAUCGUAAGCCUUAAUAAUAAGAAAUCAAUAUCUCCAUCUAUUAAUGUUCCUCAUGUAUUUAUUAUUCUUUUUUAUAUAUAUUUGAUACUUUCAAACUCUACUCACUUUAUAUAGAUUGUGUAAAACUUAAGAGAACUCAGUAAGUGAGUAUAGAGAUCAAAUAACAUUAUUUAUAGCCAAAGCUUCCCUCAAGCUUUAAUGGCUAUAUGUCCCACAUAUUUAUUAUAUCAUGGGUAGUUACAAGUGAAUCACUUUAAGAGCUUAUAAAUGUAAAUGUUACAACUUUAAAAUGAACGAUUUUAAGAGUUUAUAAAUAUAAAUAUUAUAAUUUUUAGAGUGGAUCACUUUUAGUGUGAAGGAGAGUUAGAGAAUCGAUUAUAAUGACUCUGUAAAAAACAGUCAACAUGCAUUGCUAAUAAUUUGCAACGGAGAAUUCUUUAUUGAGAUUUAUUGUUAAACCUCGCUUUGGAAUGAAUUGAUCACGAGAAUAAAAAAUAAUCACUACAUACACCCUUUAACUAUUUUACUUGAAAGUUUCGAUUAUUUCCUAAGCUCCUUUGUUCAUUUUCUUUUUUAUUACCCCUUCAUGCACGACACUUUAUGCCACUUCAUGAUACCCUUGUUUUCAACGUUUUACACUACUUUAAAAGCGUGUUUGGUAGUGUGGUUGCGGGUGCUUUUCAAAUAACUUUUCGUGUCAAAAUACAUGCCAAUGAUAUUUUUUUUAUUUUUUAAAAAUUAUUUUUGACAUCAGCACAUCAAAACGAUCCAAAACAUAUAAACCUUAUUAAAUUUUAAUUUAAAAAAUAUUCAAUUUUUUUGGGAACGCAGCCGCAUCCGCGUUCACAAACGAGUCCUCAAGUCAAUUGUUAGAUACUAAAAACAGCAAGAACUGUACUCAAUCAGCAACCACUGUGAAAUUACCACUCAAAAUCCCAUGAAUAUAUAUAAAAAAGAAUUUUGUCUAGAAAAAUUCUAUCAAAUUCUCUACUUUAUUACUCUUCAAUGUUUUACACUGCUUUAGUUCUAAAAAAACUCCUAGAUGUUAUAAAGCAAGAUAUAUACAACUAUAUAUAUAUAUAUAUAUAUAUAUAUAUAUAUGAAAGUGUAAUAAAUAUUAUAUUUUAAAGUAUUUUUUAAAUAUAUUAAAAUAAUAUUUUUUUAAAAAUAAUUUUGAUAUUAGUAUAUUAGAAUAAUAAAAAAAUAAUUUAAAACAAUAAAAAAUAUUGAAAUUUUUAAAAAAUAUGAUUUGACUGAACUCCAAAACACACGCAUGCUCCCUCAGCAGCCACCACGAAAUUACCACUCUAAAUUCCAGCUCAAUAAUUUAUUCUUUAGCAAUUAUUGCUUGCUCUUUGACAAGUACUGCUUUGCUAAUAAUUUGCAAGAAACUUUCUCAAUUUCCUUCUAUUUUCUUUUUAUCAUGGAAACUUUAAGUCACAUACCACUAAAUUACCGAUAAUUAAAUUUCAAUGUGUAAUUGUGUAGGUUUCAAUUAAAAAUGUUUUAAUUUGAGAAAAUUUGUUAAAAAAAUAGUAUAAAUUAUAUUUUAGAGUUUAUUUUAAUAGUUUAAAUUUUUAGAUGAAUAGUUUUCUAACAAAUAAAGACAUAGUUUUACGAUAAAAUGCAUUUUUUAAAAUGAAAUUAUAUUAAAUUAAGCAUGGUCGAGAUUAUUCAAAUUAUUAAUUAAUUAUAAUUAACUUUAUGUCUUUAGAGGAAACAAAAGGAAAGGACAAAAUGAUUAAUUAAAUUUUUAGAUGAAUUAAUAAAUCUUUACAAAUAAAAGAUAUAGUUUUUCAUUUUUUGAAAUGAAAUUAUAUUAAAUUAAGCAUGCUCGACAUUGUUCAAAUUAUUAAUUAAUUAUAAUUAACUUUAUGUCUUCAGAGUAAACAAAAGGGAAGGACAAAAUUAUCUUCCCCACAACGAUAAACCUAGCCCCCUUUCCAAACCAAUCCUCUAGUAAAUAGAAUGAUGGUCCCAUAAAUUGCUUUAUUCUUUCCAGCCCGCCAAGUAGUUUGGUCUCCCUCACAGGACCUCCUUAGCAUGGGAAUCAUAUGAAUUUCCUUGCUUUUCUUCCUCUACGCGUUACCUUUCACCUUUUAUAAUUAUUAUUAUUGCAUUGCUAAUAAUUUGCAAGAAAGAUUAUGAACAUUUUUUUUAGUGAAAUAAGCUCAUUUCAAAUUAACAAAAUAUAGUUUGUUGAGGCUUGUCUUGAAACCUCACUUUGGAUUAAUUGACAGGAAUAAUAAAAUUUUAUUCAAAUUAUAUAAAAUAUUAGGUGUGGAUGUGCCCUUGCCCAACAAGCUACCAUGACCUUAUCUAGAGUUGGGUGUUAACGAGACAAGCCCUUGUCCAACUCAGAGUUCGGCAUAGAUAUAUCAUGACCCAACAUAAAGUUUGGAUGCGGAAAAAAUAUAAUUUCAUUUUGAAUUAUGAUUUUUGUUGGAUAGUCUUUAAAUAAAUUUUUUUUUUAGAAAAUCAUGACCCAUAUCUGGUUAUCGGAAAAACAAUUAUGGUUGAUUUAGCCUCAUCUUCUCUGCUUGUAAAAUUGGGGCAGAUUAUGGACUUAACCGAGCAAUUACCGCUCAAAAUUCCUAGCAAUUUACAAAGGAAUUUUCCUUGCUUUUUCUCAGUAUAUUAUUAGAAAAACCGUCAUUGACUGAUUUAAUUGUAAAGUCUUUGCAAGAAAGUAAAAAAAUUAGUUUUUUAAAAUAAAAAAUAUAGAGAGAGAAAUAAAAAAUAAAAAAUAAAAAAAGGAGCGAAAGGAAACAACCGCCAUCUUUCUUGUUCCUUUUCCCUUCUUUACACGGCGUCCUCGAUGAAAAUAGCAAACACCCCAUUUGAAUAUAUAAUUAAAGAAAGAAAGAAAGAGAGGAAAAUUCCUUCCUCAAUACUUACCGCUACACGCUUCAGAAAUUCCUUGCUUUUUUUUUUUUUUUUUUCAUCUCUACUUACGUGUUACCUUUUACCUUUUAUAAUUAUGAUUAUUGCAUUGCUAAUAAUUUCCUUGCAUUUCUUUAAUAUAUAAUUAAAGAAAGAAAGAUGUUGAACACUUUUUUAGUGAAUUCAAAAUAACAAAAUAAGGUUGUUGAGGCUUUUCUUGGAACCUAGCUCAGGGAUUAAAUUAUAAAAAAAUAUAUUUAUUUUUCUGAUUAUAUAGCAAUAACAAAUUAAAUAAUAGCAACAAGUAAAUAGGAAUUAGUUUGAAUAAAUGGUACCAGUUCCUAUUAUAAUAUAUCUAGAGAAGAAGUUCGAAGAAUAGAAUGAAGUCAAAUAUCCUUACAUAAUGCUAGGUUUUAAUAUAUAAUUAAAAAGUUUUCCAUGAACCAAAUAAUAAAAAUAUUGUACAACUUUUUUGAAUGAAUUAUUAACAUAGAGGCUUAUUUGAUUUGAAUAUAUUAUUUGAUUAGUCCAUUUAUAGGUUGUCUCUAUUAUUCCUGCCUUGCAUUGCCAGGAAAUUUCACUAGAAAUUUCUAGUAAUUUAAACAGGAAAUUUGCUGGUGAUAAACCUGGAAUAUGAUUUUCAACUUUCGUAGGCGAGCACUGAAGUCCCAAACUUCAAGAAUUUCUUUUCUUUUCCUUUUGUAUCUUCUCAUUUUCUUUCUAGGAAUGUUAUGAGAAGCAGCAGAGUCAAGAGGCCAUUUUUGAUCCUGUGGACCGGAAGUAGUUGCAUAGUUAGUCGUAACCUCUGAUCAAUGGAGUCGUGGGUAAGACUUGGCUAAAUGGCCUAUCUGAUCAGGAAAUUGGCAUUUCGGUUGAUAAUGCAUUUGAGUGGUACCGAUUGGUUGAAGACUUGCAGUUGUCUUUGAAUGGACCGACCUUGAGGGAUUUUAUUGUGGCCUGGAGACCGAGAAGAUCCAUUAGUCUUAUUUGAACCCUUCGGGUGAGACCCACCAUAUGAACUAUUUAAGUUCUGUUUGUGAAGAUAAGAAUAAUUGGCAGAGGCCACAAGCUGCUGAGUUGAAGAUUCCAAACGCCGCAGGUAACUGUCAUGCCCCUCAAGAAUAUCUUGAAGCUCUUCAAAUUAUCCCAAUAGUUCUUAUAUUAAAAUCUCAUUUAUCAUAUGUUACAUCUAUCAAAAAAAAAAAAAUAAUUUGUGACGUGAACUAAAGCUAUAUGUGAAAACUAGAAAUAACAAAUGUAUGAAAAAAAAAUCAGCUGUGAUUAACAGAUUAACGAUGGAAAUUAAGAUGAUGAAUAUUUUUUUGUAAAUUAAUUUCAAUUUAAAAUAACUACAAAGAAGUUAAUUAGGAUUCCUUCCUUGAAAUUAUUAAAAAUAUAGUAUUAGAAUUAUAGAAUGCUAGGUUUUAAUAUAUAAUUUUUAAUAUUAAUUGUUAAAGAGUCUCUCUCGAACCAAAUAAUAAAGAUAUUAUAUAACUCUUUUGUAUGAAUUGUAAAUCUAGGGAUAGUUUUGGGUUUUCCAAUCACAACUUUGGACUAAAAUUAAUAACAAAAUAAAGACCAAAGAUAACGGUAUGUAAAUCUAGGGACCAAAAAUAAUACAACUGCAUUUACUGUAGAUUUCACUUAGAAUUUCUAGUAAAUUACAAAGGAAAUUUCUUGUGCUUUUUAACGUACAUGAAUUGAAAAACUACCAUUGACUGACUUGCAUUGACUGACUUGCUAAGCAUUUGCUGCUCGAAAUUUUCUCCCUAAAAAUUUUCAAGCAAUUUACGGAGCAAAUUUCCUUAUGCUCUCUCUUGUAUAUUAUUAGAAAAAUUGUUUUUAAAAAUCAAUUUUUUUUUAUUUUCCUGAGAUUCUAUUUUUUAGUCGAGUCAAUUUCAAGUUGGGUUCAAUAAUUAUGAUUAAAUUUACUGAAAAAAAAAUAAUUUUAUGUCACUUCAUGAUACCCAUGUUUUCAACGCUUUACACUGCUUUAAUAAAUUGUUACAGUAAUAGCACAGAGAGGAGCGGUUCCAGAAAAAACAAUAAUGGAGAUGAAGCAAAAUCUGUGUUUGAUUUUUUCUUUUUUGUGUUUUCGGUACAUUGGUCAACAAUAGCUUGGAAGAGUUUGGAAUCAGUAACACGUGGACCCAGUUGUUGUGGAAACUUUGCAGAGGAUCUUCACUCUGCAGGAAGAAAAAUGAUUUUAAUAGAUGUACUGUACAUCAUUUGAAUUUAUUAAAAGUAACGUGUAAUGUAAAGUAUGAUUCACUUACCAUUAACUAGUUGGACAAAAAAACUAAACUUUCUCAAUUUCCUUCUAUUUUCUUUUUAUCAUGGAAACUUUAAGUCACAUCUGCGCCUACCACGAAAUUACCGAUAAGUAAAUUUCAAUGCGUAAUUGUGUAGGUUUCAAUUAAAAAUGCUUUAAUUUGAAAAAUUAUGUUAACAAUAAUAUAAAUUAAUUUUUCUUCAAAAUAAAAAGUAAUUGGGUAUUAAUUUAGGCUAUAAAGAUAAAAUAAUAAUAAUAAAAAAGAGUUCGAGGGUAUUCAUUUUAUUAUUUGUUAUGUAACUAUAUAAUCUAAUUUGUUGAUGUGGAAAAUAGCACAAAGUUUUUGACAUGGAUAUUGGUGAGAAGCAAAAGCAGUAUCCACUAUGAGAGCUUUUGUAAACGCGUGGACCCAGUUGUUGUGGAAACUUUGCAAAGGAUCUGCAGGAAGAAAAAUGAAAUUUGCAAAGUAUUUGUGUGUAUUAUAUAAUUGUGUUAAUUUAAGGAUUAUUUUUUAGUUGUAUUAAUUUAGAAAAUAUUUUGUCUCACCGGAAAACUCUAAUUACGUUCGUAUAUUUGUUUUUGGUAACAGAUGCAAUAUGCUUUUUAAUUCAAGAUAUAUUAAAAUAAUAAUUUUUAAAAAAAAAUUAUUUUUUUUAUUUUAGUAUAUUAAAAAUAAAAAAUUUAAAAAUAGUAAUUUAAUAUUUUCUUAAAAAUAUAUUUAAAAAACACUUUUAAUUUUGUUUUUCAACUGUACUAUUCCUUGAAAAAACUCAAACUCUAAAUAAUAUCUUCUACUACAUACUUUCUAAGACUAAAAAUUAAUCUAAAUGUUUUUGAAAAGUAGUUCAACCAAAGUACCAAAUAUGUUUAUAUACUCCAUCUUCAACCACUGUAAAAUUACCACUCUAAAUUACAACUCGGUAUCGAUUACCUUUUAUCUUUGACAAUUAUUGCAUUGCUAAUAAUUUGCAAGAAAAAAUACAUUCUCAAUUUCCUUCUAUUUUUUUUUUAACAUGAAAAACUUUAAGUCACUCAAUCUGCAACCACCAUGAAAUUACCGGUCCGAAUUCCAGCUCAAUAUUUACCGGUACGACACGCUUGAGGAAUUUCCUUGCUUUUCUUCCUCUACGCGUUACCUUUCACCUUUUAUAAUUAUUAUUAUUGCAUUGCUAAUAAUUUGCAAGAAAGAUUAUGAACAUUUUUUUAGUGAAAUAAGCUCAUUUCAAAUUAACAAAAUAUAGUUUGUUGAGGCUCGUCUUGGAACCUCGCUUUGGAUUAAUUGACAGGAAUAGUAAAAUUUUAUUCAAAUUAUAUAAAAUAUUGGGUGCUGAUGUGCCUUUAUCCAACUUAGAAUUGCGACAAGCUACCAUGACCUUAUCUAGAGUUGGGUGUUAAUGAGACGAGUCCUUGCCCAACUCAGAGUUUGGCAUGGAUAUAUCAUGACCCAACAUAAAGUUUGGAUGCAGAAAAAAUAUGACUUUAUUUUGAAUUAUGAUUUUUGUUGGAUGGUCUCUAAAUAAAUUUUUUUUAUAGAAAAUCAUGACCCAUAUCUGGGUAUCGGAAAAACAAUUAUGGUUGAUUUAGCCUCAUCUUCUCUGCUUGUAAAAUUGGGGCAGAUUAUGGACUUAACCGAGCAAUUACCGCUCGAAAUUCCUAGCAAUUUACAAAGGAAUUUUCCUUGUUUUUUCUCAGUUCAUUAUUAGAAAAACUGUCAUUGACUGAUUUAAUUGUAAAGUCUUUGCAAGAAAGCUAAAAAAAUUAGAGUUUUUUAAAAUAAGAAAUAUAGAGAGAAAAAUAAAAAAUAAAAAUAAAAAAAGGAGCAAAAGGAAACAACCCCCAUCUUUCUUGUUCCUUUUCCCUUCUUUACAUGGCGUCCUCGAUGAAAAUAGCAAACACCCCAUUUGAAUAUAUAAUUAAAGAAAGAAAGAAAGAGAGGAAAAUUCCUUCCUCAAUACUUACCAGUACUACACGCUUGAGAAAUUCCUUUCUUGUUACCUUUUACCUUUUAUAAUUAUGAUUAUUGCAUUGCUAAUAAUUUCCUUGCAUUUCUUUAAUAUAUAAUUAAAGAAAGAAAGAUGUUGAACACUUUUUUAGUGAAUUCAAAAUAACAAAAUAAGGUUGUUGAGGCUUUUCUUGGAACCUCGCUCAGGGAUUAAUUAACAAGAAUAAAAAAAUCCCCUGCAAAUUAAACAAAAUUUAUUAUUAAUCAUUGAUAUUUAUUAUUGAUCAUCAAUAUUGAAUAAUGGCUUAUUUUCUAGCAUAAAUAAAAUUGUUAAAAAACAUGAUUACACAAUUAAUGAUGAGAUCGGUUAUAAAAAUGACUAAAUUGAGGUUUUUCAAUUACCUUUAAACGUAUCAUGGUUUUAAUAGGUGGACAGUACAUCCUAUUAUGUAAAUUAUAAAAAAUUAUAUUUAUUUUUCUGAUAUAUAUAGCAAUAACAAAUUAAAUAAUAGCAACAAGUAAAUAGGAAUUAGUUUGAAUAAAUGAUACCAGUUCCUAUUAUUAUAUAUCUGGAGAAGAAGUUCGAACAAUAGAAUGAAGUCAAAUAUCUUUACAUAAUGCAAGGUUUUAAUAUAUAAUUAAAAAGUUUUCCAUGAACCAAAUAAUAAAAAUAUUGUAUAACUUUUUUGAAUGAAUUAUUAACGUAGAGGCUUAUUUGAUUUGAAUAUAUUAUUUGAUUAGUCUAUUUAUAGGUUGACUCUACUAUUCCUGCCUUGCAUUGCCAGGAAAUUUCACUAGAAAUUUCUAGUAAACGAAAUUUGCUGGUGAUAAACCUGGAAUAUGAUUUUCAACUUUCGUAGGCGAGCACUAAAGUCCCAAACUUCAAGAAUUUCUUUUCUUUUCCUUUUGUAUCUUCUCAUUUUCUUGGCAUGCGCGCAGCUGCCUCGAGGAAAAAACGUUUCAGAUGCGGAAAAUAAAGAUGAAAGUGGAAAAUAGAAGCGGGGAAAAAAAUCCCAAAUAUCGACAAACAUCACAAGAGAAGCUUGAUAUCUCUUCGUCCCUUGGUAUCGUGUGAAUGUGGAUAUUAUUUCAGAAUAUCAAUUCAACCGUACUCCAAAGAACACUCAUACUCCAAUAUCAGCAACCACCACGAAAGUUACCACUCUAAAUUCCAGCUCAAUAAUUUAUUCUUUGACAAUUUUACUUCUAAAAAAAAUGAAUUUUUUUUUAUAAUUAUACGCCAUCAGCAACUACCAUUACGACUCCAAAUUCCAGCUCAAUAUCGAUCAACACGUGGCUAAAGAAUUUGUUUCCUUUUUUUUCCUGCACGUGUUACCUUUUUAUCUUUUAUAAUUAUAAGUAUUGCGUUGCUAAUAAUUUGCAAGAAAUAAUAUUCUUUCUCUAAAAAGGGCUUGAGAAAACCCUAAGCAUAGUAUAUAGUCUCUUAUAGGAAUCUCUUUAUUAAAUCAUCAAAAUAUCAAAGUCUGUUUCCAAAGACUAUGACUACAGUUUAUAUAUAGAAACAACCAAAUAUAAAAAUUAUUUUUUAAAAAUAGAAAAAACAGAAGAGCUUGAUAAUAUUUAAUUAAAAAAUAAAAUAGAAAAAUUAUUCCUUUUUAAGUAGGAAAAAAAAAUAUAAAGAUUUAAUAAUACUGAAUAAGAAAAAUUAAAAUAUUCUUUCUCUGAAAAGGGCUUAAGAAAACCCUAAGCAUUGUAGAUAAUCUCUUAUAUGAAUCUCAUCAAAAUAUCAUAGUAUAUUUCCAAAUACUAUUACGUACUACAUUUAUAUAUAUAUAUAUAUAUAUAUAUAUAGAGAGAGAGAGAAAGAGAGAGAGAGAUAGAGAGAGAAACAACUAAGUAGGUAAAGCUUAUGUUUCUUUGUUCUUGUUCCUUUAUAUAUAUACAUUCUCAAUUUCAUAAAAAAAAUUAAUUAGUCCUUGAAAUCUUAAAAAAUAGUAUUUAAUCCUUAUGUUAUUAUAUUCAUCUCUAAUUUAAUUUUUUUCAUCCAUUCAUCUUUUUAUUUAUUUAAUAGCUUAAGUUUUUAGUUAAAAGAUAAAUAGUUUUACUAUUAAAAGCAUUUUUUCGAAAUAAAAAUAAUAUUAAAUUAGGCAUCCUCAACAUUGUUCAAAUUAUUAAUUAAUUAUAAUUAACUUGAGGUUUAGAAGAAACAAAAGGGAAGGACAAAAUUAUCUUCCCCACAACCAUAGACCUAACCCCUUUCCAGACCAGUCCCCUGGUAAAUGGAAUAAUGGUCCCAUAAACAGCUUUUUUUCUUUCCAGCCCGCCAAGCAGACUAAGGCCUGUUUGUUUCUGUGUUUUAAAAGUGUUUUUGAUAAAAUUUAAAAUUUUUUUGUUUUUUUUAUUAACUUCAAAUUAAUAUGUUUUUAGUGUUUUUAAAUCAUUUUGAUGUGCUGAUGUCAAAAAUAAUUUUUAAAAAAUAAAAAAACAUCAUUAGCAUGUAUUUUGACACGAAAAACUAUUUGAAAAGCAACCGCAACCACACUACCAAACACACUCUAAGCAGUUCGGUCUUCCUCGCUGGACCACCUUAGCAUGAGAAUCACACUAGUUGGAAGUAUCUUUAAACCUCAUAAAAAUGAAUAACUGAUAAUAAUAUAAUUGGGAUUUAAAAAAAAUUCAUAAAAAAAUUUCUUAAAAAAAUCCAAAAAAUUAAACCGGACAAAAAUAAACAACCAAUAAUAAUAUAGUUAAAAUGAUAAAAAAGUGUUUAAAAAGCAAUUUGAAACCAAUUAAUCUUAAAAAAAAAAAACCAAAAAGAAACAUGCGAUGAAAACCAAUUCAUGAAAAAGUAAUUGGAUAUUAAUUUAGACUAAAAGGAUGAAAUAAUAAAAACAAAAGGAGAGUUUGAGGGUAUUCAUUGUUCAAAGGAACGCAAAAAUGCAUUCCAAGUAUGAAGUGUUUUAUUGUUAUAAAGUUUUUCAAACUUACAAUAUGGAGAGAGAAAUAAAUAAAAAGAAAAAAUAGCAAAAGGAAACAGCCCCCAUCUUUCUUGUUCCCUUUCCCACGGCCUACUCAAUGAAAAAGCAAACACCCCAUUGGAUUUCCCACGGCCGCCCACGAAAUCCCUUUAUCCUCUGCUGUUAAUUUUUUAAUGACGCAUAUCAGGUGUUUGAUAAAAUUCCUUAGCUGGGAAAGGAAAAAAAACCAUGUUAAGAAUGCUUUAGUCCUUUUCGAGUGGAAAGUGGUGUGAAAGUGAGAAGUACUGUGAGAGCUUUAUACCACUUUCUAUCUUAGACGUAAUGGCUUUGGCAAAAAGAAACCAAUAAAAGUUAGUGUUCGCACUGCUUUAGUCCAAGAGUCUUUCAUGGUUGCAUUGAUUGACUGGAAAAAAUCUCAAAGUUUUUAGAAAGAAACAGCCUUCAUUGCUUUUCGAAACCAAUCUCAGUAAUGUUAACGCGUGGACCCAGUUAUUGUGGAAACUUUGCAAAGGACCUCGAGGAAGAAAAAUGAUUGCAUUGCUAAUAAUUUGCAAGAGAGAAUUCUUUCACUGAAUAGAAAAAAGUAUUAUUUUUAAAAUAACAACAAGUAAAUUUAAAAAUUAGUAUUUUUUAAAUAAAAAACUAAAAAUUCCUGAUAAUAUUGAAUAAAAAAUAAAAUAUAAAAAUUAUUCUUUUUAAGUAUAAAAAAAUAUAAAAGUUUAAUAAUACGGAAUAGAAAUAAAUAAAAAUUCUAAACUAAAUAAAAAUAUUUUCUAUCCCAAAAAUUCUUAUAUCAAAAUCUCAUUUAUCAUAUUUUAUAUCUAUAAAAAACUAAUUUGUCAUGUGGAAUAAGUCUAUAUGCUAAAAUCAGAAAAAAAAUGUUACAAAAACAAAUUCCACAAAAGGCUGUGAUUAAAAAGAUGAUAGAUAUUUUUUAGUAAAUUAAUUUCAAUUCAAAAUAACAAAAUAAGGUUUAUUGAGGCUUACCGUUAAACCUUGCUUUGGGAUGAAUUGAUCACGAGAAUAAGAAAUCAUGUGCAAAUUAUACAAGAUUUAUUAUUAAUCAUCAAGAUUUAUUAUUUAUUAUCAAUAUUGAAUAAUGAUUUAUUUUAUAAUAUAAAUUAUGUUUAAAAUAAAAUUGAUAAAAUUAAAAUACAUGAAACGAGGUUGUAUAUUUUGAAACUAAAUUAAAAUCAUUUUCUUUUUCUAUUAUAUCCUUCAAAAUUAUUUAUUUUAUAAAAAACAAAACUUGUUAGUUUGCAAGUACACAUGUCAUGAGUCUCCACUGCAUCACUUUUGCAAAAUCAUAUGGCCCACUGUAUAUUUUGAAACUUGUUGAAGCAAAAUCUGUUUUAUUGAUCAUCAUCAAUAUUGAAGAAUGAUUUAUUUUCUAGUAUAAACUAUGUUUGAAAUAAAAUUGAUAAAAGACAUGACAUAUACAAUUAAUGAUGGGAUGGUAUCUAAAAAUGAUUAAAUUGGCAUUUUUCAAUUACCUUUAAACAUGCAUAUCAUGAUUUUAAUUGGUGGACAAUACUGUUAAAUAAUAUAUUUAUUUUGUUUUAUUUAUUAAGAUUAAAAUAAUAUUUUUAGCUUAAUCUAUAUAUAAACUCUUUAUAUUUAGAUUAAGCAAAAAUAAUAAUAUAUAUCAGAAUUCUAGUCUCAUUCCUUUUCGUAUUUAUUUUUAUGUUAAUUAAAUUGUUUUAACAAUACAUCAUGUAAAUUAUAUAAAAAUAUAUUUAUUUUUCUGAUAUAUAAAUACCUCUCUGUCCCAUUGCUGCCAUUUCAUAGCUAACUCUUUGUUAUAUUUAACUUCCUCUUCUUUGCUUCUUGCUCAUAACGAUAACUUGAAAGCCUUACGUUCAGAUAGAUAAUCAUUGACUAGCUCAUCCUAUAUCAUUCUAUUCAAUUUAUAUAUGCAGAAAGAAAAACGCAAGCAAUCCAAAGAUGAAGAAAACGCUUCAUCCUCGCGAAAGAGAAGAAAAGCUGACCUCAGUAAGCCUAUAUAAAGAAUACAAUUAACCUCAUUUCAACAUCAUAGUUAACCUCAUUUCAAUAUCAUAGCUUUGGAAUUUCAUAGCUAACUCUUUGUUAUAUUGCUCCAUUGGUAAUUGAUUGUGCCUUGAUUUCUGCAGCUGCCAUGACAGAGCCAGAGUCUUCUCGAUCUAUACCAGAAGGGGCCUAUGAUGUCUUCUUGAGUUUUAGAGGAGAAGAUACUCGCAAGACGUUUACUGAUCAUCUAUAUGCUGCCUUAGAUCAAGCAGGAAUCCACACUUUUCGAGAUGAUGAUGAACUUCCUAGAGGAGAAGAAAUCUCCGAGCAUCUUCUCAAGGCAAUUCGAGAAUCAAAGAUAUCCAUAGUUGUCUUCUCAAAAGGAUAUGCUUCUUCUAGAUGGUGUCUCAAUGAACUUGUAGAGAUUCUUAAGUGCAAAAGGAAGAAAACCGGUCAGAUUGUUCUUCCUAUAUUCUAUGACAUUGAUCCUUCAGAUGUGAGAAAACAGACUGGCAGUUUUGCAGAGGCAUUUGAUAAGCAUGAAGAGCGUUUUGAAGAGAAGUUGGUGAAGGAGUGGAGAAAAGCUCUUGAGGAUGCCGGAAACCUAUCUGGAUGGAGUCUCAAUGAUAUGGCAAAUGGGUAUGCCUUUUUUCCAAAUUUAUGGAGUCAAUAUACUUUACAUUUUUUAAUGUGAAACAAUAAAAUACUUAAUUGACUCGCUAUCAAUGACUUGCUUUUGUCUAUGAGCAGGCAUGAAGCAAAAUUUAUCAAAGAGAUUAUCAAGGAUGUGUUGAAUAAAUUAGAUUCCAAGUACUUCUAUGUUCCUGAGCACCUAGUAGGUAUGGAUCGGCUUUCUCGCAAUAUUUUUGACUUUGUAAGUACUGCAACAGAUGAUGUACGCAUNNNNNNNNNNNNNNNNNNNNNNNNNNNNNNNNNNNNNNNNNNNNNNNNNNNNNNNNNNNNNNNNNNNNNNNNNNNNNNNNNNNNNNNNNNNNNNNNNNNNNNNNNNNNNNNNNNNNNNNNNNNNNNNNNNNNNNNNNNNNNNNNNNNNNNNNNNNNNNNNNNNNNNNNNNNNNNNNNNNNNNNNNNNNNNNNNNNNNNNGAUGAUAGAGGAAAAGUUCUGAUCAAAGAACGACUUCGUCGCAAAAGAGUUCUUGUUGUUGCUGAUGAUGUGGCUUAUCUGGACCAGCUAAAUGCUUUGAUGGGAGAGCGAAGUUGGUUUGGUCCCGGAAGUAGAGUAAUUAUUACAACAAGAGAUUCAAAUCUUCUUCGUGAAGCAGAUCAAACAUAUCGGAUCAAAGAGCGACUUUGUCGCAAAAGAAUCUUGUUGUUGCUGAUGAUGUGGCUCAUCAGGAGCAGCUAAAUGCAUUGAUGGGAGAUCGAAGAUGGUUUGGUCCCGGAAGUAGAGUAAUUAUUACAACAAGAGACUCAGAUCUUCUUCGUGACGCAGAUAAAACAUGUCAGAUCGAAGAAUUGAAACUAGAUGAGUCCCUUCAGCUUUUCAGCAGGCAUGCCUUUAAGGACACCAAGCCAGCAGAAGAUUACAUUGAGCUUUCGAAGAAAGCCGUUGGUUACUGUGGAGGACUUCCUUUAGCUCUCAAGGUUAUAGGAGCUCUUCUGUACGGGAAAGAAAAAGAUAGAUGGGAAAGUGAAAUUGACGACUUGAGCAGAAUUCCAAACCAAGAUAUUCAAAGAAAGCUUCUAAUAAGUUAUGACGCACUUGAUGGUGAACUACAAAGAGCAUUCCUUGAUAUUGCAUGCUUCUUUGUUGGUAUAGAGAAAGAAUACGUCGCACAAGUGCUAGGAGCCCGUUGCCGUCGCAAUCCAGAAGUUGUUUUGGAAACUCUCCGUGAAAGGUCUCUGAUUCAAUUUCAUGAGUGUAUAAUUGAAGAUGAAAGGCAGUUAUCUGGAAGGACGGUAGCCAUGCAUGAUCUAUUACGAGACAUGGGAAGGGAGGUCGUUUGUAAAGAGUCUCCCUUGCAUCCUGAAGCAAGGACCAGAAUUUGGAAUAAAGACGAUGCAUGGAAUGUACUUGAGCAGCACAAGGUAAGUAAGAGCUCAAUGCAUACACGAAAGCAUAGUCAUGCGUAUUUUCUAGUCAAGCUUAUUACAAAUAAUUGAAUGAAAGUUGUAUUGAUUUUUUUUUUAGGGUACGGAUAAAGUUGAGGGUCUUGCACUGGAUGUCAGAGCAUCAGAAACUAAAUCACUUAGCGCAGGAUCAUUUGCAGAAAUGAAAUGUUUAAAUUUACUCAAAAUCAACGGAGCACAUCUCACCGGAUCCUUCAAAUUGCUUUCUAAAGAGUUGAUGUGGAUUUGUUGGCAUGAAUUUCCUUUGAAAUAUUUUCCAUCUUAUUUUACUUUGGACAAUCUAGCUGUUCUUGAUAUGCCGUACAGUAACCUCAAAGAACUAUGGAAGGGAAAAAAGGUGCGAAACAUGCUACAAUCCCUAAAAUUUCUCCAGUAUGUAAUUUAUAUUUACAUGUUAUGACUUUCUAUGAUUAAUUUUCAUUAUUUUUCUCUCUAUUAUAACAGAUUCUCGACAAGCUUAAAAUUCUUAAUCUCAGUCAUUCUCAGCACCUUAUUAAAACACCAGACUUGCACAGUUCAAGUCUAGAGAAACUAAUUCUGGAAGGUUGCUCGAGUUUAGUUGAGGUGCAUCAAUCAAUUGAAAAUUUGACGAGCCUUGUUUUCUUAAAUCUGAAGGGAUGUUGGAGUCUGAAGACUCUCCCUGAAAGCAUUGACAAUGUAAAAUCUCUUGAAACUCUGAAUAUUUCUGGGUGUUCACAAGUUGAGAAAUUGCCGGAACGCAUGGGUGAUAUGGAAUUCUUAACCGAGCUGCUAGCUGAUGGGAUUGAAAAUGAGCAAUUUCUCUCUUCAAUUGGACAAUUAAAGCAUUGCAGAAGGUUAUCAUUGUGUGGAGACAGUUCGACGCCACCAAGUUCUUCUUUGAUUUCAACAGGUGUUUUGAAUUGGAAACGUUGGCUGCCAGCAUCUUUCAUUGAAUGGAUAUCAGUGAAACAUCUUGAGCUUUCUAAUAGUGGUUUGUCUGAUCGCGCAACUAACUGUGUUGAUUUCAGUGGUUUGUCCGCUCUAGAAAAAUUGACUCUAGAUGGAAACAAAUUCUCUAGCCUGCCUUCUGGGAUCGGCUUCCUUUCCGAGCUAAGGGAGUUGUCUGUUAAGGGAUGCAAAUAUCUUGUAUCAAUCCCAGAUCUUCCCUCAAGUUUAAAGAGUGUGUUUGCAUGUGAUUGCAAAUCAUUGAAAAGAGUAAGAAUACCAAGCGAGCCAAAAAAAAGACUAUUUAUAAAGCUAGAUGAAAGUCAUUCGUUAGAAGAGUUUCAGGGCAUUGAAGAUCUAAGUAAUUGUUUCUGGUAUAUUCGUGUUGAUGACCGCAGGCAUUCAACAAGUAAAUUACUGGAGCGUUGUUGAGGUACUAUUUCUUUCCGUCUCUCUUUCGCACAAAAAGAAACACACACAAUUGACACAUACAUUGAUUAAUGUCUAAAAUCUCAGCAUUCCUUGAAAUCAAUAUGUAUAUAGGCAAUAAUCAUUAUUAUUAUUAUUAUAUUUAAAAAAACAAAUAUCAUCUUUAAUAAUAUUUUUUUAUUAAAUAUUUAAAGUCUGAUUGGUUUUAUUUUUUAUUUCUUGAUUUUAUGAUAAUAUAUUUAUACAGGCAAUGUGCAACGGUCGUCACGGGUAUUUUAUUCGCCACACUCCUGGUCAGAUGCCAAAUUGGAUGAGCUACAGGGGAGAAGGACGCUCAUUGUCAUUCCAUAUACCUCCAGUCUUCCAAGGCUUAGUUGUUUGGGUUGAUAAGGAUGAUAAGGAUGCUCACAUUAUUAUUAUUAUAAGAAAUAAUAGAAAUGGUAAUCUCUUGUUUCAAUGUACGAAAUGGUAUUAUCAUCCAAAAACUGGAAGUAUAAGAU